AUCAAUCCUAGAUAAGUAUGAAGAAAAGGUAAGGUUUCAACAUGUCAAAGCCAAAGAAGAAAUGGAAUUAGCCAAGAGUUCAAAUUUCUUCAAGAAAAUGGUACGUGUAUGUUUGACAAAGAUGUUGAAUGAUUGCUUCUAAACAGUUCAAACCUGCUGGUCUACAAAAUGAAUAAAGAUCUCAAUUAAGGUAUGUCAAAAUGUCUAAAAGAGAAAGAUGUUUGAAAACCUUAAUAGCUACAAACUCUUGUAUUGGAUAGGAAUUAUGAAUCCACAACUGCUGCUUCUGAUAUUGUAAAAUUUACCAUUUUGAGUUACAGUAAGGUUCAUGAUUGCUCUUUUCGACUUUCGGAGUAUCCUUGUAGCUGAUCUUCCUGUUCUGCCCACUUAUUUGGACGCACAUAUUGCCCUGUCUAUCUUCUUUGUGUAAAAUAGAGUUUACUUUCUUACAAUCAGUUCUUUUAAGUUCUAUAUAUUUCCAUUUACCCAACUUUCUUAGUAAAUUUCACGAGACAUUGAGUGCAAGAAUGGUUUCUGUUAUACAGUCCGUAUAAAGCAAAGAAAUAUGAAGGUUUAUAUAAAUUUAGCUAUUUCAAUACUUUCAUGUAUUUUAUAUGACUUGGCAUCUGGGAGUUAACUUAGAUCUUGAGGAAUUGGUUACAUCUUCCAAACAAUAAAGUUCAGGAUUUUUUUUCUCAUUUAACUGUUGUAUUAUUGCUAGGAUUACACCCCAAAACAUUUUCCUUUUAUGUAUCCCUUUGAAGAAGUUUCCUUCAACUCUUUUCGAGUUGAAUAUGACAAAGAGCGGCCAGAGAACAAGGAGAAAUUUCUAAUUUUGUGAUGAAUUUUAAAAAAAUUCUACAAAAGGGGUGAUUUUGGCAAUGGAUUCCGUCCGGGGGUCUUCGCAUUCGUGAAAUGCGAGGUUAAAGUAGAGCUCGCAGAGCUCGCAUUCGCGAAAUGCGAGCUCUACUUAUUGAGUUCGCAUUUCGCAAAUGCGAGCUCUAAUUUAAAUUUUUUUCCUUUUUUUUUUUUGGGAGCUAGAGAAUUUUUUCCAGAAAAUAGUAAGAGCUAAAUGCGAGCUCCUAAAUAUUUUUUUUUUAAUUUUGCAAAUAGCUCGCAUUUGAUAAAUUUGACCUCCAAAAAUUGUAUUUUACUUUUUUGUUAGAUUUCACAUUUAUAAGUAUAAGUUUCAGAAAAUUAAAUUCAAACUUGUUAGGAAAAAAUUUAAAAUGAAAUUUACGAGCUCCAUAAAAAAUAUAAAAUUAAAUGUAAAUAUUAUUUGUUUUGUAGAAUUUGCCUUUACUAAAAUGCUAUCGGUAGUAAAAUCUUAUUUUAAAAUCUCUACUAAAAUUUCUACUAAAAUCUUAUAUUUCGGAGAAAUGUUAGAGAAAUUUUAUUUAAAAAACUGUAAUUAGCAGAGGAAUAAAUUUUUUUUAUUUUAAAACUUGCACGUGCCUAAAGUCAUCAAAUAUGUUCUCUAAAAAAAAAUCAUAUUCACAAUAAUCUUUUUAGUAUAAUUUACUAUACAUGCAUAAUUCUUUUAUAAUAAAAAAAUUGGUAAUUGUACGGUUGGAAAUACGUUAUUUUAUUAUAAUACAUUUAAAUGGUGGAAAAAGUACACAUGCAUAGUUCCUUCUAUUUCAUAGAUCAAUGUAAAAAUAGAAUGAAAUUGUUAACAUGUAAGGUGUUGACUAUUUUUUAUGAAUAAAAUGUUAAGUUUUUUUCCUUUUUUAUCAAAUAAAUUAUUUUGAUCAAAUUCUAAUUUUCCUUUGUUAUUAACUAAUCGUAUUUAUUUGUUGACACCGAUGAAUAUUAGUUAUAAGAAUCUAAUAGUUAAUAGUCAUUAAUAUAUGUUAUAAUUUCAACUGUAAUUUUAGAAAUUUCAUAACGCGAUGUUAUUUAAAAAAAUUAUAUAAGUUAUUUUUAUGAAGUGCAUGUUAUAUGUUUGGUAGUUGAAAAGGAAAAGAAAAAAAUUAAAGCAAAGAUCUAGCGAUUAAAUCUUGCGUGUUUUACCUUUUACAAUUAUUGGUAGGAUUACUAUUUUGAUUAAAAAUAUAAAGCGAUAAUCAAGACAAAGUUAUUGUCAUGCAAAAAUCCUAAAACCCUAAAUGCUGAAGCCGUAAAACACUAAAUCGUAAAUCUUAGAAACCAAAUCCUUGUAAACCCUAAAACAUUAAAUCAAUGUUGUUGGGUUUAUUAAAAUUCAUUAAAAAAUAUUGUUGCGGCACGAUAGGAUUACUAUUUUAAUUAAAAAUCUAAAGUCCUAAUCAAGGCACACAAAUUGAAGAUCAAACUCACCAAAUUGAUGUUUUUGAUUUCAAAAAACUCAGGGUUAAUGCUCACAAGAGUAGUUGGGAUGUUUUUGUGGUGAAAUUUCAGAAGAUUAAUGGGCAAAAUGGAAGAUUGGUCAAGGAGGGUUAGGGUUUCGGUGAGAGAGAAGGAGAAGAAAGCUGAAAAGUGAGGAACCGAACCCGCGGUUCCAUUCAUAUCGCGAAGCGAUCCGAGGUCGGAUCGCUUAUCAAUGCCCUCGGAUCCGACAGGGGCUCGGAUCCUCACCGCCAGAAGCACAGACGAGCCGUCGGAUAUGUCUGGAAUUUCUUAGAUCCGAGUUCGAAUUAAAAGAUCCGCGGUCGGAUCCAACUGGAUUUUUCGGAUCCGAGCUCGGAUCUGUAUUUCUCUGCACUAAUUGCAGAAACUGCAAUUUUUCAAACUUUUUCUCCCUUUUCCGGCCAAUUCCAAAACACGCUUUGGACUAACGUUUUAUCAAUUCUAACCUCCCACGCACAUGUAAUAUACCCAAAAUACAAUAUCCAAUCUCUCAAAAUACAUUAAACACAUCUUCAUUGAAAAUUGAGGGGUGAGGUUCUUUGAUCAUUUUCUUGCAUUGUUACACCAAAAUGGCACCUUUGGGCAUUUAUGCACAUCAAAUGAGUCCAUGAGCAUUUAUAAACAUGUUAUCACCAAAACUCACCAAAAUAUAUUUAAAAUGCAACAUUGUAUGUAUGCUUGCCAAUUCUAAACAAUGUGAAGAACGAAGUUAGGUUAUAAAACCUCACUUUUUUUACACUUGUUCUUCAAUUGCAUAUUCAAGAUGGAAGUUCUGACAUGUAACUAAUUUACCGUGUAUAAAAUAGAUGAGAGGUUAGUAUAAUCCAUAAGAGUACUCAUAUAAAGUGAGAACUCAUAUAACCUACAUUUUUUUGUCAUAUUCACAAAAGAGUACUCAUAUAAAGUGAGAACUAAGAUACGCGCGAUGGCAUUGUUCCACUCAUAUUCGUGAAAUUUUAGAAUAUAUACAAAAUGUCACCAAAAGAGUAUGCAAUCCAUAAGUUAGGUUGUUUAUACAAUAACGAUAUAAGUAGCAUGCCAUCAAUGCUGCCCAAGUCUUCCAUGAGUACCACAUGUUGUUGGUUUGGGUAUUCUUUGAUUUCACCGUGGUCGGUUUGGCACUACUGUAUGGAUUUGAGUAAUAUGUGUCAACAGUGUACCAUCUUGAAUUUGAGUGCUUGUGCCUUCACCUCAUUCACAUUGCUCAGAAGUAUGCCGAUAUGAGUCCCUAUCGGGCGUAAACUCUGGAAAAGUAAUAGGGGAUCUAAAAUGCCCAAUCGAUACAUCUCUUUCAUGCAUGACUUCGAUCUGAGGUGUGACAAAAGUAGAUGCGCCAGCUUGGUCCUCAGUAGCCAUCGAACCUCCAUGGAAUCCAGUUUGUAUGACGGGUUCUGGUGAUCGGAGUCUACGACGUCGUCCACCGCCAUGCUGACUUCCCUGGGUAUUUCUAGGAGCUCGCUCAACACGACAUGGAUCAGGGUAUAGUGGAAUCUCCUGUGGUACGUGGGCAGGGCGAAAUGCAAGUCGGCGUGACUCUCCUACAUGAUGCAAAGAUGUGGAUGCAAAGUCCCUCAACUCCUGAAAAUAUCUGCUGUGUUGUUCAUCACUAACUACAAGAGAGUCCUGUGCCAUGAAAUACAUGCGAGACAUGGCAUCGCUCUAAAAAAAUAAAUAUAAGAAUUAGAAGGAGAUACUGUGGUAAAAAAUAGUUUAAAAAGUGAGCAAACUCAAAGUGAUUCCACUAAGUGGGUUGAAAAUAAACUUACAAGAUAUUAUGCCCUAACGCUAUCACCCUGAAAGCUCUCUGAGAAAGCGAAAAAUCGAUUCGAAUUUGAAAUAUAAAUCACCGUCCGCUCCCGAUACCACUGAACAUACUCAUCCGAUGGAUAUGUAGUAUCUUCAAUUACAGUGGCAUCUUGUACAUGAACACGUCGCUCAGUCCAAAUAUCAAUAUAUUAUCUAUGCAUGGUGUUCCAGUCUUGAUUCGCCCUACCACGGCGAUCUAGAGAAUGUAGAGCUGCCUGAUUAUCCGUCAACCUCAUAUCAGGUAGGGACUGAUGAAACCCAAACUGCCGCAUAACCCGAUGAGGGAGGUGCGGCUCAACUACAUCCCAACAAAUAAGAUACGUUACGGACCUUCAAAUGUCCCGACCUGCAGUACAAUAUGCAGGAAGAGAAGCGAGAACGUCCUCCGAAUAUGGCUGUCAUAUGAACUGAAAAAAAUAUAAAAUCAAAAUUGUUUCAUUUUUUCUAUUAAGAAAUAAUAAAACUUCCCAAUAUUCAAUUCUAACAAUUUCAUGAAAAAAGUGCUCGUCUGCGGUAAAUUAAAAGAUUAAAAAAAGUGCCCGACAAAUUGUGAAAAGUACAGAAACGAGGCUUCGAUUCUACUAUAUCCUUAGGAUCCGUGCUCGGUUCGCAUCUGAAAGGGUGCGGAUCCGGCAUGGUUCGGAUCCGCACCGCCGGAAGCACAGACGAGCCCUCAGAUCUAUAUGAAGCAUUUUUGGAUCCGACCUCGGAUGAAUCGAUCCGCGCUCGGAUCAAUCGAUCCGUGGUCGGAUCCGUCUGGGCACUUAGGAUCCGAGCUCGGAUCUGCAGUUUCUCUGUACUAAUUGCAGAAACUGCAAUUUUUCAAAUUUUUUCGGAUUUUUUUCGGCCAAUUCCAAAACACGCAUUGAAAAAGCGUUUUAUCAAAUCUAUCAUCCCACGGACAUGUAAUAUACCAAAAAUACAGUAUCCAAUCUCUUAAAACACAUCAAACACAUCUAAAUUGUAAAUCGAAGGGUGAGGUUCUUUGAUAAUUUUCUCAUUUUACACAAAAAAUAGGACUUUUGGCCAUUACAUGCACAUCAAAUACUAGUCAACCAUUAUUAAAAGGCAUUUAUGAAUUUCUAAAAAAAAUUCGGCAGAGUCUCCCCUAUAAUUGGAGGUUAACUCCCUGCCAACAAACUCAAUUUCCAUUCACAAAAUGCAGUAUGAUAAAUUUAUGCUUUGGAUUGACAAAAAAUUGGCAGAAAAGACUACUGGCACGAUUGUCAAAAAUUCCUAUUGUCCGGACAUAUGUACAAUACCUCUUCAGGACGCAGGCCUGUCAACUGAUCUCGGAAUGCGGGCACAACAUGCCUAACAACCCUGUGUACGUCCAAGUCAUUAUUCCACCUAUAUUUAAUAAAGUAGGAACCUGUUUAGAACAAAUUAAAGUUGGUUCGAUAACAAAUGUCAUUAAAACAACCGAAAUAAGGGCGAAACGCGCACCUAGCUCCAUAUGGACCAGGGUAAUGCUCCAACGGCGCGAUUCGGUCCGGACGCAUGGUGGAUAUAUGUUCCCAAAUCCAGAGCUGUUAGAAAAUUAGAAUCAAUGUUAAAAUUGUAAAAUGAUAAAAUGCAAAAAAUCGAAGAUGUGAAUCCCUAUUGGGUGCAAUGUACCUGUAGCAAAACUAAUGGACCGGCAAUAGCCGAUUUGGCAGGAUGCGUGGCAUCACAAAGUGACCGAUAGAGAGUCGCCAAACGCGCACUACCCCAACUAUAUUGUCCAACAGUUUUCAAGUCCCGCAGUAAUGGAAGAUACAACAAAGGGACUUUGUUGCCGGACUUAUCGGACAAUAAAUGUCCACCUAAUAUCAGUAAGAGGUAGAUGCUCGCACGCUGCCUACAUUCGGCAUCUGAAGCAUCGGGUGGCAACUCUGUAUCCAAGACUCUUGCUAAACAUCCCAAUUUUAGCCUCUGUUCAUCAAAGUAUCCAACUGCAGGAGAAAAUCCAAUGAGCUCCUCACAAAUGGCUCCCCACUCCUGAAUGCUGCGGUAUGUGUCUACCCCUAUAACCGGUGGACCAUCGAUGUGCAACCCCCACAACACCUCUACAUCCUGUAAUGUCACGGUAGCCUCUCCAACCAGUAAAUGGAAUGUAUGUGUCUCGGACCGCCAUCUCUCCACUAAACUUGUGAUCAAAGAGUGAUCAAUCAUCUGAUAUCCACUCUCUAGCACCCCCUCAAAUCCAACCAAGACAAUAUAACGACAAACCCGAUCAGGAAUAGGCGUAUGCUCCCAAAAUCCUCUGUCACACCAUUUGACAUCUAACUGAUUGCCCUCAAUAUGUCCGUGAAAAAUGGAAUGUGCCCGGUGUGCAGUUCCCGCCGAUAUAAUGUCGUGCACGUAUGGUCCUAGAUGUAGGCCUGCAGGGAUAGGAGUGUCGGCCAUAAUCUCAAGCAAAUAUCUGCAUCGAUUAAAUUCUAUGAGUUAUACAUAAGUAAAACCCAAAAAGUCAGCUGUAUCCAAUUUUGACCUAUAAAUCGCGGUCAAUAACGUAUAUCCUCAAAUCUGCAACAAAUUGGAAACAGAAAAAUUGUCCGAAUUCAAAAAAUAUAACGUAUAUCCUCAAAUCCAUCAUAAAAAUUGCAAAAAUAAGCACAACCCACAUCAAAUUUAAACCCAAAUUUCACAACAAAUCUGAACUUGCCCUUGGAUUCAAGUAUUCAAGUAUUAAUUAAACUUAAAAUGCUAUAAGUGAGGCAUUGCAAGUGGAAAAACCUAACCUUUAUGCUGUUUGAGAGUCGCAAUGGGACGACAAUGCUGGCAAACUUUGGGAAGCGGCACUCGCGGAACCAGUCUUUGGAUGCUCCGGUCUUUGGAUGCUUCGAUGUGCAGAAACCAGCUCUGUUUUCUUUGUUUUGCUAUUCGACAAUUCCGAAUUCUUUGUUUUGCUGUUCGACAGCUAUGUUUCGAUAUUGCGUUCUGCUUCUCCCACUCAGUUUUGUCCUUUUUUUUUCGAAAUGGGGUCUUGGCGGUAGUUAGUGCGAGCUCAGUGAGCUCGCACCCCAUUUGUAGAAAACACUCCAAGAACCACCCUCGUUGUAGAAUUCUUUUUUUUUUCAUCAUAAACUAAGAAUUCACCCAUAUAUAGAAGCAUCUGGUACGACAUGUUUCUUUCUUCUUCGACGGUCUAAUCCAUGGGGCCUAUCAAAUUGCACAGUCAAAGUAAGGGAAGUUCUUAUCCAUGGGGCCUAUCAAAUCCCAGACUUUUAAAAGUAAGAGAAGGAAGAUGGGGAAUUUCUGCAAAAAUGUCUUGAGAAAUAUUCCACGUUAAGAAUGCCCGGAUAAGAAUUUAAUACUUAGAAUGAGAAUAUUGCAAGGGAAAUACACCGCCACUGUCGGCACAGCACGGCGGUUGUAACGCGUGUGACGUUAAGUGGCCUAGUAUGCGCCACGUUUUCUUUGUCUUCGUUAUUCAUUUAUUUAUUUUUCUUGUUUGGGAGAUAAUUUUCCUUAAGAGGUCUAUUAAAAGAUUGAACAAGCGAGUAAUCACUUUGAUUUUGUUCAAAAAAAAAAAUCAUCUUUCAAUUAAAAUUUAUUAUUCUCAAUAUAUAACUUAACGUAUCAUUUGAAGGCAUACACAUUCAUAAUUAAUUAUUAUUGACUCUAUCCUCUAUUUAAAUACCUUUCUAACCUAAUUUUACUUUUAAAAAUAAAUUACUAACACUUGAGCCGCUUUCAAAUGAGCACUCAUUCGGGAGCUUCUAAGUUUUUGAGUCAUAACAAUUGGUUCCUUCCGAUGUAACUAUGGUUACUCAAUAGUUCCCAUGCAAACUAUUUAAAGCCUGUUGUCAUUUCACUACCAAGAUAGUCAUAAAAUGCUCCCAAAAGUAAAUUAUUUUGGCCUCUUAAUUCAGAGGCUAAUCUUACGUACCUUCCAAUGUAAACUAGCGAAGAUUCUAAGCACCAACAAGAAUUUAUACCACUAGUUGGAAAUGACCUAGGAAACUGCAGCUUUCUUACUAUCCAUUUAUAUGCUCCGUUUGAAUUAACUAUUUUUUGGAGUGUUUUUAAAAAAUUUUAGUGUAUAUAAAAAAUUUUAACUAUAAAAACUCUUAAAAUAUUUGAUAUAUUGUAUGAAUAAAAUAUUUUUUAAGUUAUUAUUUAUUAUCAUAAUAUUAUAUUUUAAAAACUUAUUUUUGAAAAAAUCGUCAAUCCAAACGGAUUAAACUUGUUGAGAAGAAUCAAGUGGCAAAUGUUAUGCUUCUUCCGGGGGAUCAAUUGGAGUGUCAGCAUUGAGGAUAAGAUCGGGACCAUUUGAUUGAUGCCCAUGAUUGACUUUUGGUUUGACUUGGCUUCACUCCUUGGAAACGCCAUGAAAAGACCGAGGAAUCUUAAAAGGCCAUGCUAAGUUGAUAGAACGUUCAUGUACCUACCAGUUGAGCUGUUAAAUGGAACGAGUAGCUCGAAAGCUCGAUUGACCUCGACUCGAUAAGGCUCGAGUUCGACUCGUUAAUUAUGGUAAACGAGUUGAGAUCAAGCUCGAGAUAUGCUCGUUUGAUUGACAAGCCGAGCAAGCUUGAUUCAUUUGUUAUUCGAGUAGCUCGAUUAGACUCGAUAAGGAAGGGUAUAUAUGUCAUUUCACAAUUUAAAAAUAUAAAAAUUGAAAAUUAUAGAUUUUAAUUAGGGUAAAUUUGCAUGAGCUCGAGCUCAUGCAAGCUUGGCUUGUUUGUGAUAAACGAGUCGUUCGAGUUCGAAUUUGAGCCACAUGUCCCAUUUGACGAGUCGAGUUCAAAUACAUUUCAAAACUCGUCCGCCUAGUCGAGCGAGUUCGAACUUAGCUCGAGUUAAGUUCGAGUCGAACUCGGCAGCCAAAUACUCUGUUCGAUUAACAGUUCUACCUACCAGGGCUGUAAAUGUGUCCAACUUAACUAAAUAUUUUAUCAGGCUCGAAUUCGAUAGAACUUUCAAUGUACGGUUCGAACUUGAGUUCGAAUCUAAUCGAGAUCAAAGAAAAAUGAAAAAUAAUUCUUUUUUUAACAUGAGUAAAAUAAACAUUUUAUUUGGAAAAUAAUAAUGGUACGAAAAACCUACAUGUAAUUUCACUGCUAACCUAAUAAAGCCAAUGGACAAGUAUAUAUCGUAUACUUGGAGCCGGACUCAGACGAACCUGUUAAGUGAAUUUGAGUUCAAGCUUUGACUGAGUUGGUUCCCAGUGCUCGUAGCCUCGUAUACGUCCAUAGAAUUGGAAAGGGACAUUCUUGUAAUCCAAUGUCCUCGAGUCAACAAUUUUUGGUUUCUUGAAAACUCACUUGCCAAUUCCCUGUAACUCAAUUCUUUUUUUUUUAAUGAACCUUGUAUACGUUCAUAGAAUUCAAAAGGGCCAUUCUUGUAAAGAAAAGUCCCGAGUCAACAAUUUUUUGGGUUUCUUGAAAACUCACUGGCAAAUUCCAAAGAGACUCUCUAAGAGCGCUGAUGGUGGUGGAUAUACGAUAUAUAGCAGACGCAAGUAAAGAUGAUGCAAGGGUCGGACGUAGUUUGAGUGUUUCAGCAUCCCGUAAGCUGCGUACUUUGUCACUGGUGGUCAAAGAAACAGACUUUCCACGCCUGCGAAGAUUUUGGAGCAGAUAAUUCGCAUCAGCAUGGUGAGGUAAGCACUUCGCGAAAUGAGUAGAGAAAUUUUGGGUGUAAGACUUGGUAAGAGGUAUAUAAGGUCACAGGCUCGCAGGUCUUUCUACCCGAGAGCCAAGAUUAGUGAAUAGGCAGUGUUAACUACUAAGAUUGUCCAUUAAUAAACGAUGCAAUUUUGCCCUCUUUUUACUCAUCACUAAAACGGGAACGGGUCUGCAAGACUCUCAAAUAUAACUUGUGGCUUUGUCCAAGGGGAAAAAAUUGUAAAGAAAAUAUGCAAUGAUAUCAAGGGUAUUUAUACAAACUUUUUGACAACAUGUAUAAUUAGAUGUACACCAAAAAAAAAAAUUUAGUGGAGAAGCCGAUAUAAAUAGACUCUCAAAUGUACAAAAUUGCACUGUGCUUGUUAAUUAAUCAUUCUGGUGCGCUUUUUCACACAUUUUCCAAUGUAAAAAGUGAAAUCAUGACCAAAAGAUGCUGUGAAACUACGAAAUAAGUUUUAUCGGCUGCACGGGGCAAUUGUAUGAGAAAGUGAAAAGAAACUUUGAAGAAAAAAAUGUGUGAUUUCUUAAAGCUUUAAAAAAGAUUGUGCAAGUGGCUUGCAAAAUCUAUGUCUAGGAAUAAAGAUCCACUUUCUGCACUUUGUUGAAGUAUUUCCCUCAACUUCUUUUUUUUUUUUUCAUUAUUUUUGUUGGAAUAAUCGUUUGAAUCACUCACUAAACAAGGAAAUCAACAACUUGGAGCUCUGCAAGUACUCUUAGAUUUCCAUCCCGGAUGGCAUUAGCCAGCAAGUCCCGGGGAUUGCCUUCCAAAUUAAUUCUCAUGAAAGCAACUAUAAUUCCACCAACAUAUCUUAUCAUGGGUUCUCUGGACAUCCCUUUUUUGCACAGGCAAUAUAUGCAGUUCAUUCGAAUCCCCGGAGCGCCAUCAUCUUGCAUGUCAAAUAACAGACAACCAAUGGGUUAUAUGUUGGAGUUUGAUAUUGAUUGCUGAUGGAUAGUUUAAUAGGAUUUAAUAAGAAGAUCAUAAAAAUCCAAAAACUACUGAUGCACCAUUGUAAAUCUGCCCUGAAUUAGGUGAGUUUGGAUAGGUCUUCCAAACACUCGUCUGUUUUUGGGAUGGCAUGGAGCAAAUUGUACAUUAUGAUUUGUCAACUAUCUAUCCUCUUCCUCCUUUUAGGUGGCGUUUGGUUCACACAUCAGAAUCGAAUUCGGAUUCGAAAUCGGAUAUCUUGGGUUUGGAAUGAGGUCAUUCAUUCCAAUACAUUUGUUUGGUUCAAAUACCUGAUAUAUGUAUAAUUACUAUAGUUGAUAUUUGGUUCGUCAACUCUUUCGGAAUAGAAUGUAAUAAAUAUAUUAUAAACCACAUCAUAAAUGAUAGUUAUUGGCUCUUUGUAAAUGGAAUAUAAGAAAUUUUCACUAAUUAAACAUAUUAGUAAAUUUAGUCUAACUAAUUAAUAAUUUCUAUUAGUAAACAUGUAUAAUUAUUAGUAUAAUUGAUAAUAUUAAUUAUAUUACAUAAAUUAAUAUACAUUAUAUAAUACAUAUAACUAAUAAUAAUAUUAUUAUAAGUUUGUAACUAAUUAAAUUAAAUAUUAUAUAUAUAAUUAAAUAGAAAUAUACAAAUGUUAUAAUAUAAAUAUAUAAUUAUAAUUAUAUAAUAUAUACAAAUAUUAAUUAUAUUAAUAUUUUAUAUAAAUAUAAUAUAUAUUACAGAUUAAAUAUAGUUAUUAUUAUAUAUUAUUAUAUUUAAAAUAAUAAUAAUAAUUAUAAUUAUAUAACUUAUUAAUAUUACAUACAUGUAUAUAUUAUAAUUAUAUGCACAUAUAAUAUACAUUUAUAAAUAUACAUAUAUAUGUUUAUUAUAAAUAUAUUAUUAUAUAAUGUUAAUAAAUUUAUAAUAUAUAAUAUAUAGGUAUAAUUAUAUUUAACUAAAUAAUUAUAAUAUAUAAUUAUAUAAUAUAAUAAUAUCAUUAUUAUAAGUUUGUAACUAAUUAAAUUAAGUAUUAUAUAUAAUUAAAUAUAAUUAUACAAAUGUUAUAGGAGUAAUAUAAAUAUAUAAUUAUAAUUAUAUAAAAUAUAAUUAUUAAUUGUACUAAUAUUUUAUAUAAAUAUAAUGCAUAUUGAUAUUAGAUAUAGUUAUUAUUAUAUUUAAAAUAAUAAAUAUAAAUAUAAUUUAUUAAUUUAUUAAUAUUAUAUACAAGUAUAUAUUAUAAUUAUAUGCACAUAUACUAUACAUUUAUAAAUAUACAUAUAUAUUAUAAAUAUAUUAUUAUAUAAUAUUAAUAAAUUUAUAAUAUAUAUUAUAUAAAUAUAAUUAUACUUAACUAAAUAAUUAUAAUAUAUAUUUAUAUAAUAUACUAAUAUUAUAAUAAAAUAUUAUAAUUAUAAUAUAUUAUAUAUAUGUAUAUAUUAUAAUAUAAAUAUAAAUAUAUAAUAUAUGUAAUAUAUAUAAAUAUUAAUUAUACUAAAUAUUAUGUAAUUAUAAGAUUUUGGAAUCACACUUGGGUUUUGGACAAAACCCACCCUUUUACUAGGGAAUGGAGAGAUGCCAAAUUUUUAGAAAUCAUUCCAAAAUUUCAAUUCCCAUACCAGUGAACCAAACACCAAUUAUGGAGUUUAUUCCAUUACUUCAUUUCGAUACCCUUUUAUCAAACGCCUUUAAGCUUUCUGCGGGGAGCAUCAUCGGGGGUGCGUGGGUCUUUGAUUCUGUCGUCCUCAAACAAGCUAGAUCAAUCCUGGAUAACUAUGAAGAAAAGGUGAAGAUCUCAACAUGGCGAAGCCAAAGAAGAUAUGUUUUCACCAAGAACUUAAUAGUUCUCCAGGAGAAUGGUGUGUCUGGGUUUAAGGGAAUGUUGGUAUAGGGGACCUUAAUUGACUUCUUUUACAUGGUUAAAAGCUACAGGUCACUGCGAUGAAUAAAGGUCUCAAUUAAAGCAUGUCAAAACAGCUUAAGGAAUAGGAUGGUGUAGGGAAUCCCAAACACAUUUUUUAUAGCAUUGGAAUUCGGUAUUUAUGUCAACGGAUAGGUUUUGAAUUGAAUUUCUUUAAUCCAGAUCCAAACUCAUUUAAUUUAGUUAGACCCCAAAUUCAGAUCCAGACCCUUUUAGAUUUGAAAAAAUAAAUUCAUACCCAAACCCUUAUGGAUCUGGGUAUUCAAUGGGUAUCUAUAGGCAUUUUCUGAACAUAUUAAAGAAAAAAUGUAUUAAAAAUAUAUAGAGUUCAUAAAUAAUAUAAAUACAUCUAAUUUUUGUUUUCAACUAAUAAAAUUAACAUUCAACAAGUUGAAUGUAAUAUUGUGAAUUCAAAGAAAAAAUUAUUAUUGACUGUUUCUAUAUGUUUUCAAAGAUUCAAUUUCAUCCACAUCUAAUAUUUCAUUCGUUCGCCUUUACUUUUCAUUCUUUUCUUGAAAAAAUUUGUACCAAUUACAAUGACAAUUAGGAUUAGUUUUUAAAAAAGUAAACAAUUAUAACAUAUAUUAAUAUUCAGCCUUAUUAAAAACAUAUAAUUUUGUACCACUUUUUCUCAUUUAAGCUUCAAUAUUGAUUGAUGCCUCGCAAUCCAGUACUAAAAUAGUGAAUGAGAUAAAAGUCAUUUGACUAAGAAUCGAUGGCAAAUAAAUAAUAGAAAAAGAAAAUUUAUAAACAUGUACUCAUUUCUUUUUAUUCAAUCAAAUUAUCAGUAGUCACUAAUAUUUCAAUCAUAUCUGAAAGCAAUUUCGCACGAAUUUAAUCAAUCAUCCAACCACCAAUACUAAAUGUAAAUUCUGAUGCCAUGAAAUCUUACUGUAUUUGAUCCAAUAGCUAUAAAAUAUUAGAUUAUUUUAUAAAUUUACUAAUAUAUAUCAUAUAUAUUAUUUAAUUAUACAUAUAUGAAUUUGGGUAGGAUUUGGUAUGGGUUUGAAUUUAAAUAUGAAUUCUAGAAAAUCAAAUCCUACCUAGACCCCUGACUCUCUCACAUGGUUAGGAUCUGGGUUUGGGUAGGGCUCUGAUUUAAGAAAUUAAAUCCGAACCCUAUCUAAAUAUAGUGGAUCUGAGUUAGAUAUGGGUAAGAUUCAGCCCAUUGACAUGCCUAGAAUUAAGAAACCACUUAUCCACUUCCAGAGUAUCCUAAAAGAUGAUUGCCUAUGCAAUUACGAGCCCAUUGCCCCUUCUAAGUUCCUUCUGUAAAAUGGAGACUACUCUCUCAUUAUUGGUUCUUGUGUGAGAAUGAAAAAAGAAAUUUUUUUUGGAAGUCAAGCAGUCAACCCUUGAGUUUCUAUAUAUAUUUCCAUUAACCCACUUUUCAAGUAAAUUUGUGUGGCAAAGUUUAAGAUUGAUUUCUAUUUUAUCUGUUAGGUCUGAUCCCAAAAAAUUGACUAACAAGAAUAAUAAGAUUCUUGUCAACUCAAUAAUAAUAAUAACAAAACAAAUAAAUCAAACAGAGAAACACGAAAUUUUACGUGGUUCGAUUAAAUUGAUCUACGUUCACGGACAAAAGAGUAGCACAUUUACUAUAAUAGAAAGAAAGUACAAAAAGAGAGAAUAUAAAAUCUUAUGAAAUAUUUCAUAUGCUCAAAAGGUACCUAAAACUGAAAAAACGAAAGAGCACAAAUAACAUAAAUGCUUAAUGGCUCAAAGACCUAUAACUUACUCUUUUGGUUGAUACCUAACUAAAACUCCUCUCAAAUUGGGGCGUAGGCCCCCCAAAACUCUUUUGAACUAGUGCAUACGACACUUGGAUUGGUGCACUUAACACACUUAAACUCACUUAAUCAACUAUAUUUAUAACAAAUACAAGGAGAGAUUUCUUUUUUAAACUUUUGAUAUGAGAUACAAAGACACAUUUAACAAAUCUCCACUUUGGUAUGUAUCCAACAUCGAUAAAUAGCAAAUAAAUAGCAAACGAGUUCCACCUUAUACAUAAAAAUUUCAACGGAUCUCAACAAACAACCAAAAUUUCAACAGACCCCAACGAACUAGGAUGCAAAAGAUUCAAUGGAUCCCAAUGAGUCAAAACUCACAAAAAGGUUCAGCAGAUCCCAACAAACUAAAAAUCACGAACAUAAUAUUACUCCACCUUUUUCACGAAACCCUCAACGAAUUCCAAGGGUCAAACAGUUCUUCUUCAAAACCCAAUUGAACUCCAUUGAACAAAACCCUCAAUAAGUUCCAAUGAGUCAAAUAACUCUUCUUCAAAAUCCGAUUGAAUUCCAAUGAAAAUUUUUAUCCAAAAUCCUAAUGAAAAUUUAUGUGGUUCGGUCAAAUUAACCUACGUCCACGGGUGAAGGAGGAGAGAGUAUAAAUCCUAAGACAUAUUUCCUAAGCCCAAAAGACAUUUAAAACUGAAAACACAAAAGAGUCUAAAUAACACAAAUGUUUAAUGAUCCAAAUGCCCGUAACUUGCUCUUUUGAUUUGAUGUCUAACCAAAACUCCUCUCAAAUUAGAGCGUAAGCCUCCCAAAACUCUUUUGGAUUGAUAUAUACGGUACUUGGGUUGGUGUAUUUAGCAUAUUUAAAUUUACUUAAAUUCACUAUAUUUAUAACAAUCACAAGGAGAGAUUUUCUUUGUUAAACUACCCAUGUAGGAUAUAAAAACACACUUAAUAUUUUCUAUAGUCCAUCUAAUGAUCAAAUGCAACGAAGUUGGAAAGCUAAUAUGACAUUAUUAUUUCAAUCCUUUCACUAUUAUUUUAUACUGUCAUUUCAAUCUAAUAUGUGGGAGUUAACUAUGUAGAUCUCGAGAAUUCUCAUGUCUCUUGAAUUAAUAAAGUUAAAGGAUGCUUUGCAUAUUUAGGUGCGGUAUGAGUGACACUUUCAACUCUGCCCAGCGGCGUUAGAUGUAGCGCAUUAUUACUGUACCAUGGAAUGCGUAGCACUUGUAGUUAAACAUAAUACUAACUACAAAGUAGGAUCUGUGUCAUUCUCCUUAAAAAAAAAAAAAAAAAGUGUCAUUCGUGGUACUGAUUUGUAAAAUGUCAAUUACUGAGCAUCAGAAACGUGAAAUUUCAGCCAUCAAAUAAAAUUGUUCCUGAAAAUUUUCUCGAGCUUCAGUAAUUCAAUCAAGCUUCAGUAAUUCUUGAGUCUCGACUGUCCUGCCUCUCAAGUCCAAGGUCGAUUAAAACUAACAAAAGAAAAAAAUGUGAGACUCGAAAGUCAACCGACAUAACCCAAAAUUCCACAAAGUCACCAAAGCCCAGUCGUCUCUCGGUCUCCCUAGCACAUAUUAAAUGACAAAUAUUUGCACACUAACUACUGGGCAGAGAAACCAACUCCCUUUAGUGGAGUUGGCCACCACCUUUAGCGUGGGGUGGGAGAUCAAGGGUUCAACCCUUGCUCCCAUCAAAAAGUUACCACUUAAUGUGGCUUUGCUUAAGAUUCAUGUGAGUACUGUGGGUGCUGUGUACCCGUAUGAUCCGAUGGUGGUUUAGUCCCCGUGACCCGGGGUUAAUCACAUUUUAUCCCAUUAAAGAAUACCCCAUUUCUCAGUUUACCCCCUAACCUUUAAUUUUGUUCACUUAACCCCCUUUAGGACAAAAUUGCCCUUGCAUUAUUUUGACUUUUCAUUUACCUUAUUUUCCUUUCUUUUAUUUCUUUUUCUCUUUCUUCUUUAUUUAAUUCUUCCUCUUUCCCACAAAAAUCUUCACCUUAAUGAUUGAAAUUAAAAAGGAGGAAUUGUAGAGAUCUAUCUUUUCCUUAAAUGAUUAAAAAAAAUUCAAAUCACUUUUCUAAAAUACAAUUUUUUUUAGCCUUUCAAUUCUUUUAAUUUUGGGUUUUCCUCUUUUCUUUCUAGUUUCUCAUUUUAUUCCCAAGAAAAUAUCUUAAGAUGAAAUUGUGACCUGAUUAAUAAUUAUCAAUUGAAAUUUGUGACACGUGGCAUCAUACAAAAAAUCAAAAUUAGUUUUUGAUGUCUUUUAAACCUUCGCCCAAAAAUAUGCGAUUACAAACUCAAAACAAAAAUUUUUGUGGAAAUCGAAUUUUCUAUUGGGAAGGAUGAUAGAGAGAAGAAAGAGAAAAAGAAAUAAAAGAAAGGAAAACAAUUUCAUCUUAUGAUAUUUUCUUGAGAAUAAAAUGAGAAACUAGAAAGGAAAGAGGAAAACCCAAAAUUAAAAGAAUUGAAAGGCUAAAAAAAUUGUAUUUUAGAAAAGUGGUUUGAAUAUUUUUUUGAUCAUUUAAGAAGAAGAUAGAUCUUUGUAAUUCCUCUUUUUUAAUUUCAAUCAUUAAGGUGAAGUUUUUGUGGGAAAGAGGAAGAAUUAAAUAAAGAAGAAAGAGAAAAAGAAAUAAAAGAAAGGAAAACAAGGUAAAUGAAAAGUCAAAAUAAUGCAAGGGCAAUUUUGUCCUAAAGGGGGUUAAGUGAGCAAAAUUAAAGGUUAGGGGGUAAACUAAGAAAUGGGGUAUUCUUUAAGGGGAUAAAAUGUGAUUAACCCAUUGAUCAGUUGAGGUCCUACUUUGCUUAACUCAGGUUAGACAUGCUUGUUUCUUCCCUCUCUGCCACAAAUUAUGCAUGCAUUCCGAGACAAUGCAGUUCUAUUUGUUGCGUUUGUAUGAAAUUGAAAUUGCAUGUAUUGAUUGUGUUUUUGAUGGGUUCUUUAGAACUGCUAGUAGUAUAAUCAAUAAUGCAUGAUAUAUUGCCUUGUUGACUUCGUUUGCUGGCCUAAAAAGUUAAGCCGAAAGGAGAGAUGUUUAUAACGUUUUGUUAAAUAACUACUGCAAACAGAGGAAAGCAUAUCCCCCAGGGAGGAAUAAAGCAUGAAUAAAAGAAAUCUGAGAUGUUUGUCAAACCCAUCUGAACAAUUUUACUGUAGUUGAAAGCUUCUGAAUUCUUAUUCCGUUGGACGGAUUUUGAAACUUCCCUGUUAUGUUUCUAUUUAGUUAGACAUAGGACAACUUCACUUACUGAGGAUAAUUAUCUUGUUCAACAAUCUAUGCUCCAUUACCUCUGAAUCCACAUCCUGUCAAAUUUCUUUUUCUUGUUUUUUGAAUAUUUUCUGAUACAUAGGCUGUCAUGUUAACCAAAUCAAUUUAGGAGAACGAAUUGGGUUUUGGCACAUUUCGUUGGAUUGGACGGCUGUUGAACUUUGGCUGCACCUUUGAACUUGUGUCUUAUGAACUUGGUUCUCUUAUAGGCAGUAUGUAAUCUAGUCUAGGUAAUAAGAUCAUAGAUCAAUUAAUGAAUCCGUGGAACUAGACGGAUUUAUGGUUUUUAACUGCAACGGCAGUCUAACUUCUUCACCAGAGUCUUCGUUACAAAUUGAAUCUGGUGCGUGACUCUAAAUCUGGCCUGAACUAGGUGAGUUUGAAUAGGUUUUUCAAUAAGAUGGCACGGAGCAAAUCGUCCUAAUAUGAUACUUGUUUACAGUCCAUCCUAUGUUCCUCUUAAGCUUUCUGUGAGGAGCAUCAGCAGGGCAUUUUGCUCUGAUUCUGCUGUCAGCAAAUAAGUUACAUCAAUCCUAGAUGAGUAUGAAGAAAGGUGAGGUUUCCACAUGUUAAAGCCAAAGAAGAAACGGAAUUCACCAAGAGUUCAAAUUUCUUCAUGAAAAUGGUAUGUGUACGUUUGAGAAAGAUACUGAAUGACGCAGACUGUGUUUACCUUGAUAUAGAAGACCUUGGUUAACUUGGUUCUAAACAGUUCAAACCUUCUGGUCAAUAAAAUGAAUAAAGAUCACAAUUAAGGUAUGUCAAAAUGUCUAAAAGGGAAAGAUGAUGUUGGAAAACCUUAGUAGAAUCUCUUGUAUUGCAUAGGAAUUAUGAAUCCACAAUUGCAGUUUCUGAUAUUAGAAAAUUUACCAUUUUGAGUUGCUGUAAGGUUCAUGAUUGCUCUUUUCCACUUUCAGAGUAUCCGAGUAGAUGAUCUUCCUGUUCUGCCCACUUAUUUGGACGCACAUAUUGCCCUGUCUAUCUUCUUUCUGUAAAAUGUAGUUUACUUUCUUACAAUCAGUUCUUUUAAGUUCUAUAUAUUUCCAUUAACCCAACUUUCUUAGUAAAUUUCGUGAGACAAUGAGUGUAAGAAUUGUUCCUGUUAUACAGUCCGUAUGAAGCAAAGAAGUAUGAAAGCUUAUAUAAAUUUAACUAUUUCAAUCCUUUCAUGUAUUUUAUAUGACUUGGCAUCUGGGAGUUAACUUAGAUCUUGAGGAAUUGGAUACAUCUUCCAAACAAUAAAGUUCAGGAUUUUUUUUCUCAUUUAACUGUUGUAUGAGCAACUCUAGACUAUCGCUGUGUUAGAUGCAUUAAUUAUAUCAGUUUACUGUGUAAUCCAUAGCCCUGUAUUAGAACAUGAUAGACUACACAGAAAAACCUAUGUCAUCAGUGGUGUUGAUUUGUAAAAUGCCAAUUAUUGAGCAUGAGAAAUGAAAAAUAUCAGACAUUAAUGAAACUUGUUCUUGAUUAUUUUCUCAAGUGGUUUAAAAAACAGCAAAGGGUUGGUUAAGCUAUACUGAGGUCUCUAAGCCACUAUGUUUCCGUACCUAGGAAACUAAAGAUAAGCAAAUAGCAGAAAAAUUGACAGAUGGCUCAACCUAACAGUUGAAAUUACAGAAGAUUAACUUUGAUAAUAAAUACUUAUCAGACGGGCCAUAUCAGUUUUACUCCAGCAGCUUAUAAAUUUGAAGAAAAUGGAUAUUUUAUCCUCUCGACUAGCCACCCAAUUGGCCAAGCUAGGACAGCAAUUCCAAUGCAUAUAAUCCAUUGCUUCCAAGACAGUUGCUUUGUAUCUGCUAACUCCUUUAACAGUUCCACAAUCAAUACCUGAAGAAGAAUUAUCGCUAGGAUUACACCCCAAAACAUUUUCCUUUUACGUAUCCCUUUGAAGAAGUUUCCUUCAACUCUUUUCGUGUUGAAUAUGACAAAGAGCUGCCAGAGAACAAGGAUGUUGAAGAUCAUGGUAUCCUUUAUUUUGGCAUCCAGGUUGAAGGUUGAUUGACCUUUGAACUGUAUGGUCAGCAGAACAAUGAUAGGAUAGACAGCUUGUCCCACUAUAUUCUUCCACAUGAUGCUGGUUAUAAAUGGCCGCUUCUGGUUGACUGGUGGCAAUUGUCUGAGCUCUUCUGGUGGUUCCUCAAUGGUGAUAGCCAGUGCAGCCAAUGCACCAACUAUCAACUUCACCCAUAGUACUUGAAAUGCUGCAUAUGGGACUUUACCUGAUGAAAUGGCCGCAACAAUAUUGAUAGUGGGAGGUUCUUUAGCAGAAACUGCUGUUACGAAGUCUAUCACAAGACAAGCAAUGCUAACAGAAAGUUGGAACUGUGCGUACAUCUGGAUUUUGUGAUACAUGCCUCUACCCCACCUCAAUACUCUGGCUACAGAAACAAAAUUAUCAUCCAAAAUGAUAAUGUCUGAGUUCUCCUUUGCUUGGCUAGUCCCUUGAAUAUCCAGAGAGAGACCUGCACUAGCUUCCCUUAGCACUGUUGCUUCCCCUAUGCUAUGUCCAGUAACUGCAACGACAUGGCCUCUCUGUUUCAAGCCUUGGACCAUAUGAAGUUUAUCCAAAGUAGAAGCUCGUGCCAUCACACGGAUUGUGCCACAUUUCUCUUUUAUCUCUGUUUCUGCAUUACUUUGCAAGCUUUGACGGUCCACUAAUUCUCCUGUUGUCUCAUCUUGAGUUGGAUUAAUAAUACCACAUUCAAUGGCUAUGGCUCGAGCGGUGGGAAGAUCAUUUCUUGUGACUAGUUUGAUGCUCACUCCUGCUUUCUGGCAGUCCAUCACAGCCUUUUGUACCUCUGGCCGACAUGGGUAUUUCAAGCCUAGGCAACCUAUGAAAGCUGAGUGUUCUUCUGACACUUCUUUAUGUGCAAAUGCUACGCACCUGAGACCCUUAGACUUCAUCUCCUGAAAUCUUUGCUUCAAGUUUUUUUUUUCAUCAAUAGACAUAUGUUUGAUGCUCCCGGCUUCAUCAUAAUAAUGUGAACACCUGGCCAAUAUGAUUUCUGGUUGGCCUUUGUGGUGCACAUGAAUAGUAUCACUGGUAUUCCUCUUGAUCCAUAUGCUACUUUGAGUGUUCUCAUAAUUGAAGAUUUCUGGACUGUGAACGGCACAAUUUGCUCGAACUUGUUCAACAGUGACGUCUACAUCUUGAACACUCCAUGCCUGAAUUGCGCUGUGAACUUGACUCUCAAUAAGUUCAAUGGGAGAUCCUGAUGAGGCUUCAGUGCUUCUCAAAAGCAUACCUUCACAGAGCAGUCCACGAACAUUUCUUGGGAUGAUUGAGGAAGUUCCUGCAUUGAGAAGCUUGUUGCCGAAACAAAUUUCGCUUACUAUCAGAUGAUUCAAGGUAAGACUUCCUCUUUCAUCUGUGCAGAUUACAUCUGCAGAACCAACUGCUUCACAGGCUGAAAGAUUUCUUACUAGUGCCUUUUGAGAUGCCAUCCUUUUGGUUGAGUAAGCAAUGGUUAUCAUGACAGCUAGGAGCAGACCUUCAGGGAUGGCAGUUGCAGCAAUAGCAACUGGGGUGGCUAGGAUCCCUAUCACAUCAUUGCAGACUUUAUGGAUAUUUGUCUUCCCUGCAGUGGUGAAGUCUGAUUUUCCAUCCUCAUUCCGCAUAUUCCCGACAAAGUAACGAACAAGCAGUACUACCAGCACCAAGGAAGCAACCAUUAAACCGACUAUAGAUAUUUGUAUGGUCAGCUGACGUAGCUUCCUUUGUAAUGGAGUUCUUUCCUCAAUAUCAUAUCUUUUUGAGCUCAGCAUCUUCCCCCAUUCAGUGUUGAUGCCGACUGCAGUCACAAGCAUUCGAGCAGAACCGUUGAUCACCUUCGAGCCAGAGAGAAAGAAUGGAUUACAGCUUUCAUUGAUUUCCACUGAUUCCCUCCCUGCUGCGAUGCAUGACUCGUCCACCUGUAAAGGGUUCCCAUCUAUGAAUAAGCCAUCAGCAGGAACUUGGUCUCCAGUCUUCAAACAAAUAAUAUCUCCAACAACGGCUUCAAACACUGAGAUGCGCAUCUGUUGCCCAUUUCUGAUCACAAAGACGGAGAAGUUGUCACGAGCUUUCCAUAGCUUAAAGAAUUGUCUUCUUGGCCAGAGUUUACUCGAGGCAGUCACCAUGAUCACAAGAAUGACAGCGACAAAUAUGCUUCCCCCAUCAGACCCUCCUCUCAGCCCGUGACGUGUUAUACCAAAACAGACUGAAAGUGUUGCACAGACAAGUAGGAUAAUAAUGAUGGGAUCUCUGAAGGUCUCAAGCACAAUGGGUAAAGUUUUUGGAGUUGGCUUCUGGAUAGUGUUUGAACCAAAGUUAUGGCGCCUACGUGCAAUUUCCUCAUCAUCACCUUGGAUACCGCUUCCAACAUCAGAUUUGAGAUAUAAGGCAACUCCUGGAACGCCUCCAAGCUGAUGAAGCUGCUCGAUGUUUUUGCGGCGGGCAAGCUCAGAUAGGCAUUGUGGUAUGAUAUAAAUAACUGUAUCAGGUGGAGAUGGCAGAAGAUUGUCCAACAGCCCACUGUGGUUUUCAUCUGCAUUAUCCCUUACAGAAGGGAAGCUGCCAUGGCUCCGGACAUUUUUGAAGGCCCUUGAACAAUAUAUGGUCAGAAAAGCAGAGCCCCAUUUCCUUUUGCUUUUGUCGAGUUUACUAAGGUGCAUAACCAGGUUAAUGCAGGACAAAUUUGCAUGAACUAUUGAAGGCAUAUUUUCGAAAGCCAAUGAUAGCUGCUAAGAAACAGAAUGUUGAGAUUUUCUAUCUCACACAAGAUAAAAAACAAGGUUCAGAAAUCGGAGGGAGAUAACGGUACGAGAGCCAAUGUACAAGGUGGAGAGAAAAUAAAAGCUAAGCGUUCACGAUCAACUAAUUUGAUUAGCUGCAUGAAAAGAUUUUAGAAAAACUGUUUGGUGCACGUUUGGGUGCUGCCUCUAUGUAGUAUUUAUAGCAGCAUAUGGUGUGAACCGUCAUGCAUGAACCAUCACAAUCAAAGCGUUCAAUCACAGCCACCAUGCCUCAUCUUCUAAGCAAUUCCCAACAAGAAGCAUUUAGACCCCAAACCAAAAAGUGCCAUUAGCGUGUCUUAGAACCAGGAUAGAUUUACAGCGUCAGUUUUACGUGUUGGGAAUGUGUACACGUUAAAAGAAAAACGCAAGGCCAUUGCCAGAUCUUCAUGUGUUACCAAUCAAGCAGAAGUUGGCCAACUCUCUGCCCUUCCCAUACCAUAGAUGUUGCUGUUUACCGAUUACCGACAUCUACAUUGACGAAAACUCCAACUUUCUCAUCGAUCUUGGCACAUAAUUUGUUUAAAUAAAAAAAGUUUAUUUAACAUAUGGUACAGAACUGGCUUGACGAGGCAACGGACACAGUAUCCCUAUACUCGGAGCCGGACUCACACGAACUUGUUAUGUCAAUUCGAGUUCAAGUUUUGACCGGAUCGACUCGUCGCGACCUUAUAGAUGUCCAUAGAAUUCAAAAAGGAGAUAACAUACAGAACAAUCAAGACAGGCAAGUUUUUUUAUCAAGUUUAUCUAUUACAAGUUUUUUAAAAGCUUUAUAAAGUUACACUGACCUUAAAAAAUUUCUCAAAACUUUUAAACUAUACAUUUAAAAAUAUUUAAAAAUUUAUACAGUUCAAAAAUUUUUUUAAAAACUUCUACAGUGAAAUUUUAGACAAAUAAUCAAAAAAUCCCCUUGCCCAACGGAGCUUUGGUUUCUUUAAAACUCACUUGCAAAUUCCAAAGAGAGUGCUGAUGGUUGUGGAUAUACGAUACAGCAGCACACGUAAGUGAAGAUGAUGUAAAGGACACGUAAGUGGAGAUGAUGUAAAGGGUUGGACGUAGUUUUAGUGUUUCAGCAUAGGUGGUCAAAGAAACGGACUUUCAACUCCUAGGAAGAUUUUGGAGCGUACUUAAUUUCUACUCCUAGGAAGAUUUGUUAAAGAUUUUGCGUAAACAAGAAAAUAUACGAGUACUUAUAAGCUAGUUACAUACAACUUUGGGUGGUAGUUAACAUAAUUUAAAAAUCAAAACUAAACAAAAAGAAAAAAAGUUUUUUUUUUGGAAUAUGGUUGGAUGUUUUACUUUUUAAUGUAAUGGUUUUAAAAAAAACCUUCAAAAGAUGACAGAAAUAGAAACAGCAUAAGGGCUUUCCUUCAUGCAUUAUAUAGUAAAAUUUAGAUAUGUCAUCUAGGGAUAAAAGUAAAUAGGAAGGAGGACAGACAAAAGAUGACGUCUGCGACUAGGAAAUAAAUUACUUAUAAACAAAUAUGUAUGAUCUAUAUAAUUAUUUAUAUUAUAGGAAAUAAAUUACUAGGAGAGUAUUAUCUUAUAGUUGACAAAAUCAAAUGAAGAAACUUAUUUACACACACAUUGAUUUAUUUAUAUUAUCAACAUAUUUUUUAAUUAUUUUUUUAUUUUACAUACACCACAUUAAAAAAAGUGUUACAAUAUUUUUAAAAAAAAAAUUAUUUCAAAUAAUCUCUAUCCAAACACGCUUGACUUUAUAACAAAGGCAGAAGAAGAAACGCGUUGUCCUGUUGUAACAUACAUCUUACUGGAAGUAAUUUUUGCUAGGUGGUUAAUGUUGUAAUGGAGCACGCCUACUCUGACUCGCCGAGCAUUUGAUUGUCUUUACUACUCCUUUGAAGGUUAGGCCAUGGGUGACAACGGAGGAAAGCAAAGAAUGUCGGCCACGCGAAUUAUAAUCCUCUGUUCUAGUUAUACAGUCCGGUGUCGGCCAACAUAUACACACAUAUAUAUAUAUAUAUAUAUAUAUAUAUAUAUAUAUAUAUAUAUAUAUAUAUAAAGAAGGCCAAUUACGUAAACCUCCGGCCACUAGUCCUUUGAAUUAGUGAUCACCGCCAACACUUAAAUUUUGAUGGCGUUAAGAGAUCGAGAAUUCAACCAUUACAGCAUAUCAAAUCAUCAUUACACGCGACCGUCUUCCGUAACUUUCUUCGAUGAAGUUUCUAUUCCCUUUCUUUAGAUUAAAAUAAAUUAGAUUAUAAAAAUAUUAAAAAGAAAAUUACAUAAACCUCCGUCUCACUUAAUACUCAAGUUUCCCUUUCUUUUCGUUUGCUCUGACUUAAACUGCCGAUUUCCUAAACGCAAUCGCAAAUGAAUGAAAAUCUCCUCCCCUUUUCGUGUGGGGGCUGUAAAAAAAGCCUCUUUCCAAGAAUUAAAUACAAAUUUGUUACAAGCUUUCGAAGCCAGUGGCAUGAUUUCAAGAAUUAAAUACGAAAAGGGACUUUCUUUUUUUUUUCUUCUUCUUUUGCAAAAAAAAAAAAAAAAAAUCAAAUGGUUUCUUUCAAUUAGAUACUUGAUGAUAUCCGCUAUCAUAUUUGCCCAUUGCCCCCGUUCACAAAAUUAAGAGGCCAAGCUAUGCUUUUGAAGCUAAUGGAAUGAAAAACACCAUCCACACUGUGUUGCUUGCUACUUGCCAAUGCACCACCGCCACCAAGAAUCAACGGCCUACAGCCUACUAGUCAAUGAAGACGGAUCACGCUAUGUGCCCCCAUAAUUAACAACCUUGCAGGCAACAAGAGGACCACAAAUAAAUGCAUGUGCUGCGGUGCAACCAUGCUCGAACGCCUUACUUUUUCUUUCAACAGCAGCAAGAAACACACACACACACUAACCUAAAGCUAAUCCAUAGCACUACCCAAAAGGCUAACUUUUGGAUAGCACUGAGGCCCUUAAGUAGUGAAUACACACAUCACUCACAACCGAUGUGGGAUAGGGAGUUGGGGGAAAGGGAACACCGACUCUAUUGGGAAACCCUCAGUAGCUUUUACCUCUCCUGUUUUUCUUUUUCUUUCAACAGCAGCAAGAAACACACACACACUAACCUAAAGCUAAUCCACAGCACUACCCAAAAGGCUAACUUUUGGAUAGCACUGAGGCCCUUAAGUAGUGAAUACAUACAUCACUCACAACCGAUGUGGGAUAGGGAGUUGGGGGAAAGGGAACACCAACUCUAUUGGGAAACCCUUAGCUCGAACGCCUUACUUGAUGUCUAAUUUAUAUAUCCUUUUCUUUUUUUUGGGUGUCAGGGGGACUUUUUAUGAGAUACUCUUAAUUAGAGGUGUCAAAAUAGAUGAUUUGGACGGUCGGAUUUGGAUUGGUUAAAAUGGAUAAUAGGUAUAAGUGAGUCAAUUCAUUUAUACCAAUUUAAUUAGAUGGGUAUAAAUGGAUAAGUCAAAAAAUGAAAUGGAUAACCCAAUUACCCAUUUAUAACCUAUUUAUUUUAAUAUUUUGUAAAUUCAUUUAAAUUCAUUUUUACAAACUAAGUUAUUAAUGUAUACCACUCUUUACACCAAUCAUUAAUUUUAAAUAUUUACUUAAAAUUCUCAAUAAGCCUAAUUACCAAUUUUUUUCCAUCUCUAUCCAGAGUUUUGGUUCCUGGCAGUUGUUAUGGGGAUAAGACAUUAAUGAUUUCACCAAUCUUAUUAUGUUUUCAUCGUCAGCAGGAAAGUCGCUGUCUUUGUACGAUACCCCUCGUCGUCACAACAUCACUAUAUAUAUAGCGUCAGCUUCUACGACUCAUGCAUCAUGGAUCUGCAGGCCUCAACAUACGGAAGUUUCUGUGUAUAAUUCUGCUGGUUGAUUAACAUAUUAUGUAAUUAAGGUGGCAUUGCUAACUUUCAAGCUUUUUAUUUGUUACAGAAAAAAAUCCCUUUCCUUGUUCGCAAAAUUCAAUUCGGUUAGAAUGAACAUUAAACAAGUAAUCAUGAGACCUCUGAUUCAACUCUUCAAUUUUUCACUUUCUUUGCUCCCCUUAUAAGGUUUAAAAUUUUCCUAAAACAACAACGACAACAAUAAUAGGAGUAGUGAAUGACCCCUUUUCUUCCUGGAUGACAAUACUGCAAAUUCUUGCACUAAAGGAAUUUUUGCCGAUGCCUCGAAGGAAUUACUUGCUCAUAAUGGGACCAAUCAUCUUGGAAUCAUUAGGCACUAUAAUAUGACUUCUUUGAAAGUGUAGCAACUUAAUUACGACUUCUUCAAAUAUAGCUAUCGACUGGCCUUUGAUGAAUUCGUGUUGGAGCUGUCGCAGUAGCAAGGAUUCUUAAAAAGUUUCACUACUUUGAUUGGCCCAAAAAAAAAAAAAUAUAUAUAUAUAUAUAUACACACACACACACGACUCAUAUUACAAUUUGGAUGCAAAGCUAUCUUUUUGACUAUCUUUAAACAACUUGGCAGCUUAUGUUAAGUCUGAGAUCACAACUCUGUCAUAUGUUUAGGGCCAUUUAGAAUGCUAUUUUUUGAAGUUUUUAUUGAAAAUUGUAGUAUGGCGAUUUGAUGUAUGUCAAUGACUGAGCCAAGGGGGGCCGAGGGAGUCAUAGUCCUUUCUAAGUUUUGAAAAUUUUAAUGCGUAAUAUGGAAAUAUAUGUGUAAAACAAAGUUGACCCUCUUAAUUUUUUACAAUGUUAGUUUAUAUUAUGAAAUUUCAAAAGCCUAAAUAUAUGAUUUGAUGAUAUAGUAAAUUGACCUAUUUUGAUAUAUUAUAAUAAAGCGACCUAAUACAUAAUUAUCAAUGGGUUAAAACAAAAAUAAUUACUUUAUUGGCGCAUAUAUAAAUAUACAAUUUAAUCCAAUUGAUUAGAUUUGUUCCCACUCAUCUUCCUGUAUCAACUGCAACUACAGAAUGGGUAUUUCUGAUUAUGAAGAUAAUCAAGACAAAAGCUCCGAAAUAAGCUCAAAGAUAAUUUAUUGAAAGAUUGGCUAACUGUGUACAUAGAAAAGAAAGUUGUUGAAAAAUUUAGUAUUGAUUUAAUCAUAGAUGAAUUUAGUUCUAUGAAAGAAUGUAAAUCUCAUUUUACUUUUAAGAAAAGAGGUUCAAAUUUCAAGGUAUGUGAACAUAACAGCUAUCUUUUUUUAAUUGAAAAUAGUCAUUUUGAUAUUACAUAGUUAUAUAUAUAUAUAUAUAUAUAUAUAUAUAUAUAUAUAUAUAUAUAUAUUGCACAUAUUGGAGCAUCUUAUCAUAAUGUGUAACUUGGGUAGUUUGUGAUGUUAUAAAAUAUUUAAUCAAAGGUUAUUUCUUGUCUUAAUUUUUGUUAUGACUAUGCUGUGUAUUAUAAAAUAGAAAUACCUUUAUAAUUAAUGUUAACAUUUGAUGUUUUUAGAUGUCAUAUAUUUGAAUAGAUGAAAAUUAUUUUGAUUUUUAGAUGUCAUAUAUUUAAAUAGAUGAAAAUUAUUUUGAACAUAACAUAUUAAGAUAAUUUUGUUAGGAAAAAUUUUGGCCCCCUAGAAAAAAAGUUUUGGCUCCGUCACUGUUGCAAGGGAAGUAAAAAAGUGAGUGAAAAAAGUUUAAAAAAAAUGCCUUCAAUUGCGGAUUGAAUACGGAAGUUUCCUAGGAAUUACGCUGAGGUAACAGAACCCUUCCCUAGCUUUAGUUUCCUUUUAGCACAAGUUUUCUUGGCUCGAAUGAAAAUUUGACUUGUUUUCCACCUAUGCUUAUCAUGUCAAUGCAUACUGUUGUCUCAUCCAAAUUUGCUUCAUCUCAUGUUAAUUUCAAGGGAUAAUUUCAGAAACCUCUCCUGAGGUUUCUUGAAAUAUCACUAAGCUCCCCUCACAUUUUGAAAAUCUCUCUUACCACCUUUGAUUGAUUGCGGGGUCAGAAGUCACACUGAAAAUUCAUCAGUUACCAAUAAUACCCUUGUAUUUGAUGUGCUCUUAUGCAUCAGUCACACUAUUAUUUGUACCUGUGCCAAGUACUUAUAUGCAUUCCCAGUCCCAAUGAACGACUAAGGGUCCGUUUGUUUCGGGUGAAAAUGUUUUCCAGGAAAAUAUUUUCCUAAUUUCCCGUGUUUGGUUGCACAAAAGUUACUGAAAACAUUUUCCUAUGUAAAAUAUUUUCAUUCAUCUUAUGGAAAACAACUUCCCUUCCCAACUUCCUGAAGUUGUUUUCCGAAAUGCAUGCAUCUUGCCUGUAGUAUGUUCCAAACUUACUGAAAUCAUCUUGCAGUAUGUUCUUUUUUUUUUUUAGUGUAAACAGGAAGACUCGAACCCAAGACCUCUUCCUUACACUCCCUCCCCCGUACCACCCAACCCUCCCCCUAGUAUAUUCAAAAUAAAAAAAAAACCUCAUCCUGCUCAUCCUAUGCUAGUAAUUAAUUAUGUAUAAUAGGGACAUUCUUUUCUAGAGAAACUUUCAGCAGUGAGAGUGCAAGAUAUAUGUCACAAUAAGCAUUGCAUGUGAUUGAUAUUUGACACUAAAUGACCAGCAAUUUAUUUAUUUGCUUAAGGAGAUAUUUUUUAUUCAUAUAUACCUUUCUCCAAGAUUUUUUAAAGUUAAACAAUGAGAUAAAUUUUCUUAUUUUGCAUGGGAAGAAGUAUGUAGUUAUAAUGUGUAGAAAGUAAAAAUAGAGAUAAAAGUGAAAAUAUUUCAAAAGUUAAACAAACACCAGAAAAAUGAAGUAAGAAAAUAUUUUCAAUAAGCUAACCAAACGCCUGAAAAUGAUGAAAGGGAAAUGAUUUUCAUGGAAAAUUACUUCCACGGAAAAUAUUUUCCCAAGGAAAACAUUUUACUUCCAACCAAACAGACCCUAAAAGACAUAUGUUUUGGUACUUGCUUGGGAAUUGCAAUUUACUCUUGCCAAGUAUGCUAUGCUUCUAUCCACAGAUCUUGGAACAUGAUGACUUACUACCAUGAUUUGUAUGGAAUUUGCUAACUCGAACCGGAAUGCUGUGCUUUUUGUCAACUCUAUGACUCGGAUUCCUUACCAUUAUGUAUGGAAUUUUAGUUGUUGUUUUCCAAUGAACUUAGCAGUAAAAUAUUGUUGUACUUGAGGAAAAUACCACCUGUGUGCUUUAUGAAGUUUUCUGUAAUGCAAAAAAUCUGGGGGGCAUUGGUAUGAACUAUGAAGUAACAAAUCUCGCAGCUUCAUUGAUUGGAAGACUGCUGAGCUAAUUAGGCAUAUUGUUAGGUAAUCCUUAAAAUUUCGAAUUUAGGGUUCAUGAAAUGGAUGCAUUUAAUUAAGUAACUAAUUAAACUAAUUAAAUUACCUGCGAGUAUUACUUUCACAUAAUUAAUUUAUGUUAAAUACAAAACCUACCAGUUUCCCUUUUGUAAAAAUAUGAAUGUAAUACUUUUUGAAUUUUACUUACAACCAUUUCUAUAUUUAAUAUAAAUUAAAUGAUUUAGAGUAAAAUGUUCAUAAAUAGUUAUUACUUUGUUCGUGUAAUAGAGGAAACCCGUGAAGAGCUGACAUGUCAUGGGCAAUUUCUUUUUUUUUUUUUACUUUCACGUAUUUAAUUUAUGUUAAAUACAAAACCUACUAGUUUUCCUUUCGUAAAAAUAUUAGUAUAUCACUUUUUAAAUUUUACUUACAAACAUUUAUGUAUUUAACAUAAAUUAUAUGAUUCAGAGUAAAAUGCCUAUAAAUAACUAGUACUUUAUUCAUCUAAUAGAAGAAACCCGUAAAGAGCUAGUAAAAAGUGGGUAAUUUCUUUUUUUGCUUUCACGUAUUUAAUUUAUGUUAAAUACAAAACCUACUAGUUUCCUUUUCAUAAUAAUAUCAGUGUAACACUUUUUGAAUUUCACUUAUAAACAUUAAUGUAUUUAAUAUAAAUUAAAUGAUUCAAAGUAAAAUGCUCAUAAAUAGCUAAUACUUUAUUCAUAUAAUGGAAGAAACUUAUAAAGAAUUGGUAUGUUAUGGACAAUUUUUUUUUACUUUCAAAUACUUCAUUUAUAUUAAAUAGCCAACAUGCUAGUUUUCCUUUCAUAAAAAUAUUUGUGUAACGGCUUUUGAAUUUUAUUUGCAAAUAUUUAUGUAUUUAACAUAAAUUAAAUGAUUCAGAAUAAAAUGUCCAUAAAAACUUGGUACUUGGUUCAUGUAAUAGAGAAAAGCCAUAAAGAGUUAGUACUUUAUGGGAUAUUUCUUUUUUAAAAAAAAUUUAAUUUAUGUUAAAUAGAUAACCUACUAGUUUUUUUUCAUAAAUAUUUAAUUUAUGUUAAAUAGCGUAUUUUCGAAAUGUGUUUUUUUGGUGACAUCAAAAAAUGCAUUCUACUAAUGCGUUAUUUAACCAAUUUUUCCUAUUUAAAUAAAUUUAUGAAAAUUAAAAUAAUGUAUUUGAAAAUUACAUUUUUAUUUGGAAGAACGCAUUCUUUGGAUACAUUUUUCACCCUUUGGAAAGAGAUUAAAAAAUCGCCACCCUUUGGGAAGUUAGUUUGAAAACUCCCUCUUUUUGGGAAUUUACUCCUCCAUCUGCCUUACUUUUCUAGCGGACACCCUCACCUUUUAAUACCGCUGGAAGCACUCAAAGUAGCCGUUGCAUGUCCAACGGUCAUGCAACAGUGCUCAUGCCCGAAAAAUACUCUCCAAUUCACAUUUUCCACCUACUGCAACUUUCUUAUGUCAUUGCUAUCAGUCAAACUAAGGGUAUGAAGGGAACUAAAAUACUCUCCCUCCUCCAAAAUGCAUUUUCUAUUGUUACUUUUGCUUAGAGGGGCUAACAUUGUUAAAAAAAUGUCAAUUCAGAGGGUGGUAAGAGAGAUUUCCAAAAUGUGGGGGGAGCUUAGUGAUAUGUCAAGAAACUUCAGGGGAGCUUUCUGAAAUUAUCCCUAAUUUCAAUUCAUCUACGGUCUCAAUACAAAAAAAAUAUAAUUCUACAUAAAGUGUAGGAUCAUUUCGUACUGAAUUUCCAGCAAAUUUGUUCGAGAAAAACCUAGCUGGGGAAAUUUACAUGCUUCUCAUUCUUAAAGGUUAACAACAUAAUUAGUUCUUGAGAAAAAAAGAACAAAUCUUGAAAGUUGUUUAGCCCAAUUAUACACAGUUUCCCUGUUCUUUUAUCUCCCUUAACAUAUACUACUAGCAUACAUAAAUUGCAUAGCCAGUUUAACUUAGUAAUGGAACUUCAAUUUGCCCAUUAUAAGUUUUAAUUUUGGAUCAAUCUUUCCAACACUGUCAACGUAUACACUAACAGAUUUAGAUACAUGUCACAUUAUCUCAAUUGAAUUUAUAUAUGUAGCAUGCAUCUAAAUCUGCUAAGAUAAUAUUCACCGUGUACAAAACAUUUAUCCUUUAAUUUUUCCAUUUUUGUCUUAAAGUUGUUGUUCCUUGAAAUUCUGUAAUCGCGUGGUGGCUACCUCUUCUUCGCUACAUAUCAAUGGGCUUGGGUUUGAGAAACAUCUCAGUCUUUAGACGUCCAAAAUGAUUUGUCCAAGUCAUUGAACCACGUUGGGCCCAAAUUCGUCAAUUUGACUUAUGGAUAUUUGCAGAAAAUCAUUAGUUUGCUUAUGAAUAUUGCGAAUAGCUCAAGAAGUAAGAAUUUGUAAUAUGUAUCCCAAUGUUAUAUUAUAGUGGAGUCUAAUCAUUUUCUAAACUAACAAAUCAGCAUAAACUACUACGAAACUUUGUGAUAUUGCAACUUGCCUGCUGUUUUCCUAAUAACAAUAGUAGAAGUUGUUUGAUUUAUUGGUAAGUGUAAAUAUUGAACUCUGCAAGAAUUUACUACAAAAAGUACAUUACAGAAGCAAACUACAGAAGAUAUUAAAACGAAACUUUGAGCACACUACUCCAUUUUACAUGCAUUUGAAGCUGUUGUUUUUUUGGAAAAAAAAAAAAGCUUAUAAGAGACUUGUAUUGAAUCUUAAAAUGAGUUUAUGCUAUUCAUUCAUCAAAUCACUAUUUACAAGCAGCAAACUAACAAAAUAUCCGGCUAACAAUUAUCCUAAAAAUCUUAACAAAAACUACGUACUUGAUAACAAAUCAAUAUGAUUUUUUGGUUAACAAAUAUUCUUAUUCUUCUGCUAGUAAAAUCUAUAGGAAAAGUUGACAUACUUCAACAGAAUUUCUUCCACUUGAGAUAGCUGAACACUGGCCUGUCCGGAACAGGGAUGCACUUAACAAUCCAGCCAAUUGGCCAGGAUGCAGCUGCAAUUCCUAUACAAGCUCCCCAUUGCCCCCAAUUCAACCUCUCUGUAUUAGCAAAUCUCUUCAAAAAUUCCACCAUCACCACUUGAAGAAUAAUUGUUACUCCAAUAAUUCCCAAGAACAACUUGUUCCUGUGUAUCCCCUCAAACACAUUCUUACUCUCAAGUUUCCUUGCGUUGAACUCAUUGAACACUUGGCAAAGAACAAAAGUGUUGAAGAUCAACGUAGCGUUUACCUUUUCGCUAACACCAAAGAUUGAUUUUCCUUUGAACUGUAAUGUCAGCAAAACUGCUAUCUGAUACAAGGCUUGAGACAUUAAGUUCCUCCACAUGAUGUUGGUGAUGAGGGGUUCAGUACGCCCCACUGGAGGCUUGUCCAUGAGAUCCUUUGUUGGUCUCUCUGUUGCUAGUGCUAAGGCUCCAAGAGUAUCCAUGAUGAGAUUUACCCACAAGAGUUGAACUGCUGUUAAUGGUACUUCUCCAGCUGAAAUUGCUGCUACAAAGUUGAUCACUAGAGCUGCCACAUUCACUGUGAGUUGGAACUGAAUAAAUUUCUGGAUAUUGCUGUACACACAUCUUCCCCAUGUAAGCACUGUGGCAACAGAAGCAAAAUUGUCAUCCAAAAUGACAAUAUCUGAACUCUCCUUGGCUACUUCAGUGCCCUGAAUCCCCAUAGAAAGUCCUAUAUCAGCUUCUUUCAAUGCUGGCGCGUCGUUUGUUCCAUCUCCAGUCACCGCUACAACAUGACCUUUCUCUUUUAAGCAUUUCACCAUGAGAUGCUUGUCAAAAGGAGACGAUCUCGCCAUUACAACAAUUUUAUCAACUUUUUCCAUCCGUUCCUCAUCUGUGUAGUUGCGAAAUUCAACACCCUCUACCACCAAUUCAUCGUUAGCCUCAAGAUCGGGCUUAAGUAUUCCACAUUCAGUGGCUAUUGCUCUUGCAGUGAAGACAUUGUCGCCAGUGAUCAUUUUGAUCUUCACACCAGAGUAUUGACAAUCUUCCACAGCUUUCUUCACACCGGGGCGACAGGGAUCUUUUAGGCCUACAAUCCCCAAAAGGAUCAAGUUUCUGUCUUCUAAUGUUUGCUGUAUUUUUCCACUGGCAUCAUCGGCUUCUGUUAUUUGCUUGUGAGCAAAUGCAAUGCAUCUGAGACUGCUGGCAGCCAUGCCCUGUAUUAUUUCUUCAAAUUUCUUCCUCUCAAGAUGAUCAAGUAAUGUGACUUCUCCUUCAAGAUUGUAGUAAUGCGAGCACAUUGCUAGUAUCAUUUCAGCAGCUCCUUUCCAGUGGACAUGAGUCGAGUUAUCCACCAUUUUCUUCAUCAACACUCCACUUCUUUUCUUCUGUGAAUUGAAUGCUUCGACAUGAAGAAUGGAGCAAUUUUGUUUUACUCGUUCCAUGUCCAUAUUUAAUUCCAUCACAGCCCAAGACAGAAUUGCUUUCUCAGUAGGACUUCCUGAGAACUCGAGGCCCUUUGUUCCUAAAUUAAUCGACCUAUAAACACUUCCUGUUGUGUUUAGGCUCACAGCUUCACGAAGCAAUUUAAGAACAUUGGUUGAGAUAGAAAGGUAGCUAUCUUUCUCUACUGAUUCCUUGCCCAGCCAAAAUUUUGUUACUGUCAUUCUAUUUAGAGUAAGAGUACCUGUUUUGUCUGUACAGAUGGUUGUAGCAGAGCCCAUUGUUUCACAAGCAGAAAGCUUUCUCACCAUUGCUUGAUCAGCCAUCAUUCUCUUCAUCGAGUAAGCAAGUGUAAGUGUUACAGCCAGAGGCAAACCUUCUGGAAUUGCAACAACUACAAUUGUUACGGCUGCAGCAAUAAUUUUCACCACAGCAUUGAUCACAUCAUCAGCCUUUGUUUUGCUGCCAUUGUACUCCUUGAUUCCAUUUGCGUCCUUUGUAUGACCAGUGAAGUAGCGAACUAAUAGCACCAAAAGAACUAAGAAAGCAACUGCUAAACCAACUUUACCAAUUGCUGAAGUUAGCUUAUUGAGGCGCGAUUGAAGAGGAGUUUUCUCAUUGGAGUCCUGGCUAACAGAGCUCAUCAUUUCCCCCCAAGUUGUGUUCAUUCCAACAGAAGUAACAAGCAUCUGACCAUAUCCAUCGGCUACUUUGGUACCAGAAGUCAAGAAUGGAUUCUGGUUUUGAUUAACUUCUAGAUGAUCACUUUCUCCAGUCAUGCUUGAUUCAUCAAUGCGUAAGGAAUGCCCCUCCAAGAAUAAUCCAUCAGCAGGUACCUGAUCACCAAUCUUCAAGCGAACAACGUCUCCGACAACAAUUUCAAAGAUUGAAAUUUGCUGUCUCCUGCCAUUUCUCACAACUUCAACUGGGAUAUUGCUGCUGACCUUGGAAAGCUUCUCAAAUUGCCGGCUCUGCCUAAAAUUACUGAUAGCUGAAACAGAAAUGACAAGAAAAACAGCAACAAAUAUACUUCCACCAUCAUACCAUCCUUCUUUUGGACCAUUCUCUUUUAUGCCAAAACUAAGUGAUAAUGCAGCACAUGCCAAAAGAAUGGCAAUUGUAGGAUCUUGAAAAGCUUCCCAAACAAAAUGGAAGAAUCCCUUUUUGGGAGGCUUACGAUAUGUGUUGCUACCAAAGGCUUCAAUUCUGCGUAAAAUAUCUUCGGCAUCAUGACCAUUUAAUCCAUGCUGAACUUCAGUAUUGAGAGAAGUAGCUAUACCUUGAAUACCACCUAAUUGGUCAAGCUGACCAAGGCUUUUCUCCUUGACAAGCUUUGUUAGAGUUGUCUGAUCAACCUUGCAAGGGCAGGGAUGAACUUCGGCAAUAUCGAUAGUAACCGUGUCUGAAGGUACUGGUAAAAUCUUGCUCUUUCUACGACUUGGAACAUUUUUGAAGGCCCUUGAACAACAUAUGGUCAGAAAAGCAGAGCCCCAUUUCUUUUUGGUAUUGUUCAGUUUACUAAGGUGCACAACCAGGUUAAUGCAGGACAAAUUUGCAUCAACUAUUGAAGGCAUAAUUUCGAAAGCCAAUGAUAGCUGCUAAGUAAAAGAAUGUUGAGAUUUUCUAUCUCACACAAGAUAAAAGGAGAGCCAAUGUACAAAGUAUAAAUGUAGGCAAGAUAAAAGCUCACUGUAGGUUCACGAUUUCAACCAAUUUGACCGACUGCAUGAAAAGAUUUUAGAAAAACUGUUGCAUGAGUUGGUUGAUGCAAUAUUCGGUGGCUGCCUCUAUUUAUAUUGCAUAUUAUGCAUGAAGCAUCUGGUACGACGUUUCUUUCUUGUCCGAAGGUCUAAUCCAUGGGGCCUAGCAAACAAAUAGUUCAAAUGUAAUGAGCAUAAUUGACUUUAAAAGUGAAAGAAAAGGAAGAUGAGGAAAACUGAAAAGAGCUGGAAUUUACUGGUAAUAAUUCCAAAUAGUGGUUGUGUUUAUUCUAGGGAAUUUAUGCAAAAUGUCUAAGAAAUAUUCCACGUUAAGAAUGCGAGGAUAAGAAUAAUAGAAUGAGAACAUUGCAAGGGAAAACUCAAUGAACAAGUCUGAAAAGUACUAGGAAAUGCACCGCCACUGGCUUGGGGCGCGUGCGGUUGUAAUGUGUUCGAAGUUACUUAACCUAAAGCAUAAUUGACAAAGUCAAAGAAGCGAGUGUACGCGCCAACGCGGCAGAGCGAGUUUCUGUUUCUGCCCGGCUGUGUUUGGAUAGCCAAAUAAUGAUAAGAAAUUAUUUGCUUACAUUAUAGAUAUAAUUUUUAACAUAUCUUUUUAUCUUCUUAAUUAUUAUUUUUUAUUUUAUAUACAUCAUAUCACAAAAAAUGCUACAGUAAUUAUUUUAAAUAAUAUUUUAUUCAAACGCAUUAUUCAUUUAUUUAUUUAAUUUUUUUUUCUUGUUUGGGAGAUAAUUUUCCUUAGGAGGUCUCUUAAAAAGAUUGAACAAGCGAGUAAUCAUUGACAAAAAUCACCCUUCAAUUAAAUUUAUUAUUCUCAUAUAAAACUUAACGUAUCAUUUACUUUUUGGUUUGGGGUCUUAAUGCUUUUUGUUGGAAAUUGCUUAGAAGAAGCAUUUAGACCCCAAACCAAGAAGUGCCAUCAGCGUGUCCUAGAUUUACCCCCGUCAGUUUUACAUGUACCUAAUUUAAAUACCUUUCUAACCUAAUUUUACCUUUAAAAAAUAAAUUAACACUGGAGCCACUUUCAAAUGAGUGGGACACAAUAAGACAACCACCAAUCGAGCAAGAAGCAUUCGGACACCGCACCAUUAGCGUGUCUUAGUCUCUUAGGAAUAUAAACAUUAAACCAGCAGGAUAGAUUGAUUUCCCACAUCAGUUUUGCAUGUCGGGAAUGUUGCCAGAUUUUCAUGUCUUACCAAUCGAGCAGAAGUUUUGGAUUUUGCACACCCCUACAGGCUACAGGGUAGAUUUACCACGUCAGUUUUACAUAUCGGCCGUUGCCAGAAGUUGGCCAACUCAGGGCCUUUCUGGCAGAUGUUGUUUACCUAUUACCGACAUCUGCAUUAACUAAAACUCCCAACUUUCUCAUUGAUCCCAAUUUGUUUACAAAUGUAACGUCUUUAGAUCUUCUAAGCUUUUGAGUCAUAACAAUGGUUAGUCAAUAGUUCCCAUGCAAACUAUUUGAAGCCUGUUGUCAUUUUCACUGGCAUAUAGUCAUAAAAUGCUCCAAAAAGUCAAUUAUUUUGGCCUCUUAAUUCAGAAGCUAAUCUCAUGUACCUUCCGAUGUAAAUUAACUAGUGAAGAUUCUAACCACCAACAAGAAUUUAUACUAGUUGGAAAUGACCUGGGAAACUUCAGCCUUCUUACCAUGCAUUUAUAUGUGUGCUCAUUGAGAAGAAUCAAGUGGCAAAUGUUAUGCUUCUUCCAGGGGAUCAUUUGGAGUGUCAGCACUGAGGAUAAGAUCGGGACCAUUUGAUUGACUUCUGGUUUGAGUUGGCUUCACUCCUCCGAAAUGCCAUGAAAAGACCGAGGAAUAUUAAAAGACCAUACUAGGUUGUUGUUAGAACAUUCGUAUGCCCACUAGGGCUGCAAAUGUGUCAAAUUUAAGUAAAUAUUAUCACAGUUUGAACUUGAGUUCGAAUCUAAUCAAGAUUAAAGAAAAAGAAAAAAAUACUUUUUUUUUUUUUAACAUUAGUAAAAUAAACAUUUUAUUUGGGAAAUAAUAAUGGUACGAAAAACCUACAUGUAAUUUCACUAUUAAUUAAAAAAAGUUUUAUUUAACAUAUGGUACAGUACAGAACUGGCUUGACAAGCCAAUGGACAAAGCGUCCCUACACUUGGAGCCGGACUCAGACGAACUUGUUAAGUCAAUUUGAGUUCAAGCUUUGACUAAGUCGGUUCCCGGUAACUCAAUUUGCUCGCAACCUCGUAUACGUCCAUAGAAUUGGAAAGGGACAUUCUUGUAAUGCAAUGUCCUUGAGUCAACAAUUUUUGGUUUCUUGAAAACUCACUUGCCAGUUCCCAGUAACUCAGUUCUUUUUUUAAUGAACCUUGUAUAUGUUUACAGAAUUCAAAAGGGCCAUUCUUGUAAAGAAAAGUCCCGAGUCAACAAUUUUUGAGUUUCUUGCAAACUCACUUGCAAAUUCCAAAGAGACUCUCUGAGAGUGCUGAUGGUUGUGGAUAUAAAAUAUAUAGCAGACGCAAGUAAAGAUGAUGUAAAGGGUAGGACGUAGUUUGAGUGUUUCAGCAUCCCGUAAGCUGCUCCUGCGAAGACUUUUGAGCAGGUAAUUCGCAUCAGCAUGGCGACGUAAGCACUUCGCCAAAUGAGUAGAGAAAUUUUGGGUGUAAGACUUGGUAAGAGGUAUAUAAGGUCACAGGCUCGCAGGUCUUUCUACCCGAGAGCCAAGAUUAGUGAAAAGGCAGUGUUAACUGCUAAGAUUGUCCAUUAAUGAACGAUGCAAUUUUGCCCUCUUUUUACUCAUCACUAAAACGGGAACGGGUCUGCAAGACUCUCAAAUAUAACAUGGGGCUUUGUCCAAGGGGCAAAAAAUGUAAAGAAAAUAUGCAAUUAUAUCAAGGGUAUUUAUACAAAAUUUUUUGACAACAUGUAUAAUUAGAUGUACACAAAAAAAAAAAAAAUUAGUGGAGGAGCCGAUAUAAAUGUACUCUCAAAUGUACAAAAUUGCAUUGUUAAUUAAUCAUUCUAGUGCGCCCUUUUCACACAUUUUCCAAUGUAAUAAGUUAAAUCAUCACCAAAAGAUGCUAUGAAACUACGAAAUAAGUUUUAUUGGUUGUACGAGACAAUUGUAUGAAAGUGAAGAGAAACUUUGAAGAAAAAAAUGUCUGAUUUCUUAAAGUUUUAUAAAAGGUCGUGCAAGUGGCUUGCAAAAUCUAUGUCUAGGAAAAAAGAUCCACUUUCCGCGCUUUGUUGAAGUAUUUCCCUCAACUUCUUUUUUUUUUUUUUCAUUAUUUUUGUUGGAACAAUCGUUUGAAUCAUUCACUAUACAAGGAAAUCAACAUCUUGGAGCUCUGCAAGUACUCUUAGAUUUCCAUACCGGAUGGCAUUAGCCAGCAAGUCCCGGGGAUUGCCUUCCAAAUGAUUUCUCACGAAAGCAACUACAAUUCCACCAACAUAUCUUAUCAUGGGUUCUCUGGACAUCCCUUGUUACACAGGCAAUAUAUGGACUUCAUUCGAAUCCCUGGAGCGCCAUCAUCUAGCAUGUCAAAUAACAGACAACCAAUGGGUUAUCCGUUGGAGUUUGAUAUUGAUUGGUGAUGGAUAAUUCAAUGGGAUUUAAUAAGAAGAUCAUAAAAAUCCAAAACUACUAUAUAUAUAUGGACAAUGCUAUAGUGCCUAUAGUUAUGGUAACGAUAUUAGGGAAACCUACUAUUAUAAGUUUCUAUUACCUUUAGUGACAGAUCAAAAUUUUUAGCGACUUUUUUAAAUAUUAUAUUAAAAUAAUUAAUAUUAACUUUAGUAAGUUUUUAAUUAAAACUCGUAAGUAUAUGCCUGAAAGAUAAGUUUCAGUUAGAAAUAUAAAUUUACACUUUGAGUAAUUUAAUUUACUUAUUAUUUGACAAAAUUUACUUUUUUUUGAAAUUAAGCUUACUAAUACUAAAAGUAAAAAAUUUACAUAUUUAAGUAAAAAAAUCACCGGUUUCUGAAAAUGGUUUUGGGUUAUCACAUAUCUCUAAAGUUGCUUGCCUUCUUUUUAUUUUCUUCUCACCUCACGAUAUGAUGGAAUAGAAAUUUUUUCCUGGCAAGAUUACGACAGUUCUGAUCGAGAAUCGCUGGACGGAUUCAAGAACGAAGAUUCUGACUCCCACUGGAUGCCGUUUAAAGGCCUUUCCAGCAAGGUAUAGUUGCAAACAAAAUGAUUUGUGUUUUUGUUAUUCCACUGAAAAUUGAAUAUUCUUCUACAUAUUCGUUGUUCCUUUUUGUUUUUGUUUUGAUUUUAUCGUAGUUUUAGAUGACAAUGAAGGAGAGGCUUUUGCUGGUGAAUUGAAAAUUGUAUCCUUUUGUAUUUUGUGCAUCUUCUGUUCCUUCUUAUUUAAGUUUUAUACAUCUUCUGGCAAUGACUCCCACUGGAUGCCGUUUAAAGGCCCUUCCAGCAAGGUAUAGUUGCAAACAAAAUGAUGGUAGUAGUAUGUCGUUGUUUAUGUGAAAAGUGGUUAAUUUGGGAAUGCAUAUAAGGUGUUUGGUGAAAUGUUCAAAAGAAAUUUGUAUGAUACGAUUGAUGCUUGUACGGGGUUAGAAAGCACCGAACAACUUGAUUAAAACCACAGUUGACGAAUUUCAAUUACGCCGGCCAACUUGUACUAGGAAACAAAAAUGUCAAAUGCACUUCAUCAUUUAUUGGUAAGAAUUGAUACUUUAAUUUUACAAUAAGUUUGGUUAAACUAUAAAGGAGGUAAAUGUAAUUAAACCCCAAAAGUAUUAACCGCUCCUUCUUUUUAUUCUUUUAUUUUUUUAUUUUUUAAUAACUUAGUUUCAGUCUUGUGCUCUGCAACUUUUUGCUUGCAUGAUUUAAAUCAGAAAGAGUAAAUCCAAAUAAUCAAAUGUUAUGGAGUUCUCUUUACGUAGUGAUUACUUAUGAAGCUUAUUUACCAGUUGGAAAUGUUAUUUGCUCUUCUUGAAACUGCAGUUUCUAUGAUUUGAAGUGGUUUCAAUCUUUUCUCUGCCUGUACCUGUUCCAAAAUGGAAUGGUUUUUUAAAGUUAUGUUCUUGUAGUUAAAUCACAUGUCUUACAUAUUUUUAUUGCUUGAAUGGCUGUGCUGUAAUGCGUUUGUAAGAAUCCAUUCUGUACAUAAAGAAGCAACGUUGUACAGGAUGAAGGCUUCAUCAAUUAAGCUUUGCCUUUGAUCAAUUUAAUAUCUCGUAUAUGUGUGAGAAUAAAUUAGUAUACAAUAAAUUCGAGCGUGAACUAUAUUUGGGAACUUUGGAAUUUCCCUGGUUUGAAAAACCAGCCAAACAAUGUAUUUCAAUUGAUCAUAAUUCCAAAUCCAUUCAACUGAAUGAUUUAUUGAAUUCAAAUCCACCGACCCAAACAAAGUAAUGUAUUUGUCAAAUGCAACAAGCAUUUUAACUUCGAACCAUGCAGUGUUUUCAUUAGGCAUACAAAAGUUUGAUUUUAUGCAUAAUUUAAGAGGACAAGUUGAUUGCACUAAUUUGUUCAGUAAUUUCUAUUUCUUCAAGACUAAAAGAAAAAAUCAGAUGAUAAAACUAUUAAAUAAAUUAUUUAAACCUAUGGAUGCAUCCUUCAACUAUGAACCAAAUUUCCACUUUGAUUUUUGAAUUUCAAGAUAGGACCCUUUAAUUCCUAAAGUAUAAAUCUGGUCCCAUCUUAGUUCCUAAGAUAUACAAUCUGUCUUACUUUAGAAAGUACAAAAUUUCUUCUACCUAAGUAUAAAACUUGUCUCACUACCGUCUCGAAAGGGGUAAAUUUUAUAUGUAGAGACUAAAGUGUCUUAUUUUAAGUUUAGAAAUUAGAGUAGCAAUCUAAGUAUGGUUGAAAGUACAAAGUGCCAUUAGCCGUAUGAAACAAAAAGAAAUAGGCAAACAAUUAGAUGUACAUGAGUACUACUUUUACUCCUGAUGUGCCCUUAGAUUCCAAUUGUAGGUAAACACCCUUUUAGUGGAGUGAAAACCACCCUUUUAAUUUUUUACUAAAUACAAAUACUGCCAUGUGUAGGAAAAGAUAUUUGACUUUGUUUUACUUUGAUUAGAAAAACUUGUGGUAGUAAUAACAAAAUAGUGACAGGGGAUGCAAAUUUCAAAUCAACAACCAACGUACACUUAAUUACAGUAAUUUUUUAGUUGAUCAAACUAAUAUAUGCCAUAAAGUAGUAAGAUUUGAUCAUUUAUAAAUUGACAAUUUUAGCAGUUUAUAUACCAUUCACCUAUAAAAAUUAUGAUUAUUAUAAAAUGACAUUUUAUAGUAAUUUACAUACUAUUUGCCAAUUAAAAGAAAGUUUGAUAAAAAAUGUGCAUAUAAAUCCAUAUUGUAAAUGAUACAAAAUAUAUUUGAAACUCAAAACUUAAUAUAUGGGUAAAUUUAUUAUAAUUUUCAAAGAUUAUGCUACAUUAGUACAAAAUGUUAUUUUAACAACAAAAUUUUUUUUUACUAAAAGUCUGAAAUAUCCAUGACAUAUGUAUGAGGGAUGUUUUACCAUAUUUGUAUCUCACAUCUAAUCAUGAAAGUUAAUUUGAGAAAAAAUAUUUUUGACAAUAGAAUUAUUUUGAAUUUAGUCAACAAGUUGAGAUUUUUUAAACAAUAAAAGUGAAAUAUUUUGGGAACUUAGUUGUUUAUUUUCCCAUAAUUAAAAAUUGCUAUAUUUUAGCAAUUGUUACCAUUGACCUUUCAUUCUGUAGACUAAUUUUUAUCAAUGCAAAAUUAGUUUUAUUAACAAUAAUUGAAGUUCCAUUGAUCCGAGGAUUGGCAUUUUAUUGCUAUUAUUUUAUAUGUAAAUAUUUAACCUAAGUAAUAAAAUAAAUAAUAGCUACUUAAAAAAAGAAAUUGAAAUGGAAUUAAAUUUAUUUAUUAUUUUAUUGCUAACAACUUUGACCCCAUUUAAUGGUUAAAGAAAAAAUAAAAGAGACGUAGAGAUUGAGAUUGGUUCCUUAGUGUGAAAAAGGAAAGUUCUUCUAAACUAAUGUUGCGUGAAAUUCUGAAUGCAUAUAAAAUUAGAAAUGCGAUAACUUUGCAAUUCAUUCUCAUUCAUGAUGAAUAAAUUGCGAUUUUAUAUAGAAUCGCAAUUUUUUUCGUUCAGCAUGAAAACAUUUUUAUUUUGUCAUAUUGAUGGCUUUUGCUUUUAAGAUUAUCUACAUGUCGGUGGUUAGUAUUAUUGACAAGGUUAGAGGUCAUGGAAAAUGUUACUAAUUUUAGGAGACAUUAUGAAUUGUAAAAAUGGUUUAAUAAUUUUCUAUUAAGCAUAACUACUGCAUACAAAAGGAAAAGAUAUUUGAUUUUAUUUUGUUUUGAUUAGAAGAACUUGUACUAGUAAUAAAGGAAAUUUCAAUUCAACAAUCAACGUGCACAUGAUUACAAUAAUUUUUUAGUCAUUUAGACUAAUAUAUGUCAUAAAGUAGUCAGAUUUAGUCGUUUGUCAAUUCAUAAUUUUAAUAGUUUACAUAAAAUUCAUCUAUAAAAAAUUAUGAUUAAUAAUUUUAUAAUAAUUUAUAACAAUCAACGUGCACAUGACAUUUUAUAAUAAUUUAUAUACCAUAUGCCAAUAAAAAAAGAGUUUGAUAGACAAAUCCAUAAUGUAAAUGAUACAAAGUAUGUUUGAAAGUCACAGAACUUAACAUAUGGGUAAUUUUACUAUAAUUUUCAAAGAUUAUGCUAUGUCAAUACAACUUUAAUUUUUAUACUUGUGACCCAAAAAAUAAAUUUAUUAAGAUUUUACCAUUUUAUUAAAUUCAUAGGCAUUAAUAUAUGAAAAAUUGUGUACCAUUUUAUUAUAUUCAUAGGUGUCAAUAUAUGGAAAUUGUGAUGUAUAGAUAAGGGCAAUUCUAUAUAUAACUCGAAAGAUUUGUUGUUACUGUCAUCCAAACUUUCUAACCUUUAACAAAUUCAUAAAUAAAUCAAAUUUAUAAUAUGACAAAUUAUUCUUACAUAUGUUAUAAGGUCAUAUGCAAAAAAAAAAAAAGUUUUCAUAAUAAAAAAAUCUUAGCAUUAUUUCAAAUAAACUUCCUAAUACUUGUUUCAUAUAAGUUUCUUUAAGUAAAAUACUAAAUUUAUGCCACAAACUAGUAAGUUUUGAUGAUUAACCAAAUUUACUAUUCUAUGAAUAAUAUUUACUAUUAAUCUAUAAAAACUUACUAUUACUUGAACUAAACUUACUCUCCAAAAACUAAGUUUUAGAUAUAGAGUAGUAAUUUACUUCAAAAAAAAAAGUAAGUUCCAUAUUUAUUCAAAUUUACUUUUUGAGUCAUAAAAGUUACUAAUUUAUUGAGUUAACUUACUACUUUUAAUAUAAAACUUACUAACCAAAAUUUUAGGUACUAUUUUAUUUAGAUGACCAGUACAACAGGUAAUCAAAUGGUCGCUAAAAGUGUUUUUACCUGUUAUAUCAGGUAAAAACAGUUUCGUUACUAUAACGAUCGUUACUUCAGACUUUUCCAUAAAUAUAUAUAUAUACAUAUAUAUCUACCUUAUAUAUAAGAAGAAAGCCAAGUUACUGUAACAGCCCAUCUUUUUUAUACAUAUAUUGCAUAUAUUUUUUACAAAUGGAAUCUUGGUCAUUUUAGCUAAAUUUUUCCUUCCUUUUUUUGAUUCAAUUUGGCCAAAAGCAUUAAAAUGUUUUUUGUCUUUCACAAAAUCAACUCCAUCUCUUCUUCUUCUUCUUACAACACUACUGUCAUUCCUCACCUUUUUUGUUUUUUAAAACUAAUCUAACUAAGAUUGUUGCCAUGUUCUUUUUUUUUUCGUCGAGAUGAUUAGCUACUUAGCAAAGAGAAGUCUUUAUUAUUUUUUUGAUCCCAUUUUACAUUUUCUUUUCUUCUUUUUUUUUUCAUCUCUAAUCUUUCAUGUUUGCUCUAUUUUUCGAUCAUAAUGUUAUAGCCAACUGGUAUUUGUUUGUUAAAUUUAUAGGAUGAUGUUUUUAUUUGGUAUUUCUUCAUGGAUAAAAGGUGAAAUAUUAAAUUAUGUAAAAAGAUCUUAGAAUCCAUUUUAUACCAGCGGUCAUCUUCUAUGAAGAAUAAAACAAAAAUUCAUUCUUUUCUUUUCUUCUCCCAAAAUUUGAUUUCCCAUUUCACAUUUUUUUUUCCUUUUCUUUGUUUUUUGGUUACAUUUUGUAAUUAUCUACAAUUUUGUGUAUUUUUUUAGGAGAAAGAUAUAUCAUGUGAUGCUUCGACCAAGAUAAAUUUAGCAAGGCAUUCUUCUACCUCUGUUUUACUCUAUUUUUUUCUUUCCCUCACCCCCCUUUUGCAAUUACUUUAUGGUCUAUUCAAUUUAAUUGAAAGAUUCAAUAAGAUUUUGUAUAUAUUUAAACUAAUGUUAAUUUUUGUUUGUUUUUUAAUUAGUCAAGUGUUGUAGUAUCAAUUGGGUUGGCAUACAAGGAUUGUAGUUGGUGAUGGAAGUCACAAUUGAGACUUUCAGCCUAGAGUAUGACUUGAUAAAAAAUUGUUGGAAAAUUCAACUUUGAUUAGGAAGAUGUUUUGCAAUAAAAAAAAUGGUUUAGUUCUAAUUUGUAUAUGUAGAUCUAGAAACAUAGCAAUUUAUAUUUUUAUCUAACCUUACUAUUUAUAUUCUAGAGUUGUAGGAUAAUGUUGUCACCUUUAGGCGAGAUUUAAAUAGAUGAACUAGCUUUUCCUAUCAAAAGAAAGAAAAAUGUGAAAGUUUAUAGUAAGCUAUAUUGAUGUUAAAAAUUGUGCCAUAUCUUAGUGGUUUUUAAAACUUUUUCUCAUUAUUAAAGUACUAAAAGUAGUAUGACUACUUUUGGAUUAGUUACAACUAAAACUAUGCUACUAUUAAUACAACAAUGCACUUAUAGUGUAUUAAUUCUCUCUCCUUUUUGGGUAUCAUCAUAAUAGUGGUUCAAAAGCUUUAUUCAAAUCACAAUAAAUAGGGGAGUUGACUUCAUACAUGAAAUUUCUCUUCACAACAAAAUUUGAGGGAAAUUUUAAGGGCUACUCCGUAUUUUGUUAAUUGUAUUCCUACAAUAAAUAAAAACUAUAUGAUAAAAAUAAUAGUGAAAGUAUGAUUAACAAAAAUGAGAGUUCAAAUAAUAUUUGUCAAUUUUAAUUGUUUUGAUACUCAAUUUUCUCUUAUAUUUCUAUUCAUUUAUCAUGUGCCAAAAUAAUUUGAUAUUAUGUGUUCCACUAAAAUUUCUAAGGGCCCAAACAGUGCUUUGCACAGACCAAGUACCUCUAGAAUAUAUAUACGUAUGUGUGUGUGUGUGUGUGGGAACAAGUGUUUGAAUUUCUUUUGGAUAUAUGCUGAAAUUGGUAAUAGUCGGAGAUACAAUUUAAAUAAAAGUCUCGAAUGAAGAUAGUUGGGAUUAAAAAUAGAAGAAUGUUGAUCUAACUUUUCAUAAAAACUUAAUUUUUUCUCAUGCAAGUUCUAUGGCUCUGCUCAUGUUUGACUGGGUAGAGGGACACUCGACGUGUAAUCCGAAGCGAGCAAGAGAGUUUAGUAAUGAAAAUAAAAACUCGUAGGAUUACCCAAUAAAAUUUGAUAAAAAGCUCAGGUAAACUGGUUAGGAUUUGGUUAAAUGCACUUUCGCGAGUACCUGAUCCCCAUCCCUGCGUUUCUCUGUCUCCCUAGCCCGCGGGGAUGAGAACCACAAGCCAACAACAGAGUCCCAACAUUACAAAAGCAGAUGUCAACCAAGUGCGAUCAGUUUAGGUGCUACUUUGCUAAUUUCAGCCUUCAGGUUAGACAUGUUAAUAUACAACUCUUUUGAUCACUUAGCAUGGUAGUUUUUUUCUAGGGAAAUUUGCACUGGGAAAUUGGAAUUGCAUGUAUAGAUUGUAGUUUUUAUGGGUUUUUUUUAGAACUGUUAAUAUAAUGCAUGCUACUGCCCUUUUUGUUGACUUCGUUUCCAAGCCUAGAUAAAUGUCAUAACAAUCUCUUAAAUACGUAACUGCAAACAGAGAAAAGAAAAAAAAAAUUUUGUGCCAGGGAGUGAGUGAAAAAGCAUGGAUAAAGAAAUUUGAGAUUUUCGCUUCAUUUGGAGUUUUACAUGUUGGAGAACAUCUGAUCAAUUUUAGUGUAGUCGAAAGCAUCAAAAUUCUCUUUUUCUUGGAACAAUUCUGAAACUUCCCUCUCUUUGUAUUCAUUCAAUUAAACAUGGGACCAUUUCUCCACUUUCUGAGAAUAAGUAAUCUUCUUCAACAAUAUAUGCUUCAAGUUUUCAACACAACAAUUUUCUUUCUUCUUCUGUUCUUUCCUUAUUUAUUUAUUUAUUGGUGUAUUUCUGAUGGGUAGGUUGUCAUGUUAACCAACAUCAAUGUUUUAGCAUAUUUUGUUGGAUUGGAUUGAUAUUUGAUUAUUGGUCUUACGAACUUGGUUCUCUUCUAGGUACCAAGUAAAACAUCCAACAAUGUUUCACAAAGCAUUGGAACAAAACCGACAUCCACACAUAAUCUUUGUUGCAAAGUGAAUCUGAUGCACCAUUGUAAAUCUGCCCUGAAUUAGGUGAGUUUGGAUAGGUCUUCCAAAAACUCGUCUGUUUUUGGGAUGGCAUGGAGCAAAUUGUCCAUUAUGAUUUGUCAACUGUCUAUCCUCUUCCUCCCCUUAAGCUUUCUGUGGGGAGUAUCAUCGGGAGCGCAUGUGUCUUUGAUUCUGUCGUCGGCUAAUAAGCUAGAUCGAUCCCGGAUAACUAUGAAGAAAAAGUGAAGAUCUCAACAUGGCGAAGCCAAAGAAGAAUAUGUUUUCACCAAGAACUACUAGUUCUUCAGGAGAAUGGUGUGUCUCGGUUCAAGGGAAUGUUGGUAUAGGGGACCUCAAUUGACUCCUUUUACAUGGUUAAAAGCUACAGGUCAAUGCGAUGAAUAAAUGUCUCGAUUAAAGCAUGUCAAAACUCAAAACACCUUAAGGAAAUAGGAUGGUGUAAGGAAUCCCAAACACAUCUUUUAUAGCAUUGGAAUUAGGUAGGCGUGUCAAUAGGUAGGGUUUGGAUUGGAUCCCUUUGAUUCAAAUCCAAACUCAUUUAAUUUAGUUAGAUCUAAACUCAGAUCCAAACCCUUUUGGAUUGGAAAAAGUAAAUCCAUACCCAAACCCUUGUGAAUUGGGAUAUCCAAUGGGUAUCUAUGGGUAUUUUCUGAACAUAUUAAAGUAAAAAUGUAUUAAAAAUAUGUAGAGUUCAUAAAUAAUAUAAAUGCCAUCUAAUUUUUGUUUUCAACUUAUAAAUUUAACAUUUAACAAGUUGAAUGUAAUAUUGUGAACUCAAAGAAAGAAUUAUUAUUGACUAUUUCUAUAUGUUUUCAAAGAUUCAAUUUUAUCCACAUCUAAUGUUUCAUUCGUUCGCCUUUAUCAAUUAUUUUUUCUUAAAAAAAUUUGUACCAAUUACAAUGACAAUUAGAAUUAUUUUUUUUAAAAAAGUAAACAAUUAUAACAUAUAUAAAUAUUCAGCCUUAUUAAAAAAUAUAUAAUUUUGUACCUCUUUUUCUCAUUUAAAUCUCAAUAUUAGUAGAUGUCUCGCAAUCCAGCACUAAAAUAAUGAAUGAGAUAAAAGUCAUUUGACUAAAAAUCGAUGGCAAAUAAAUAGUAGAAUAAGAAAAUUUAUAAACACGUACUUAUUUCUUUUUAUUCAAUCCAAUCAUCAGCAGUUACUAAUGUUUCAAUCAUAUCUGGAAGCAAUUUAGCACGAGUUUCAUCAAUCAUCCAACCACCAACACUAAAUGCAAAUUCUGAUAUCAUGAAAUCUUACUGUAUUUGAUCCAAUAGCUAUAAAAUAUUAGAUUAUUUUAUAAAUUUACUAAUACAUAUCUAUAUAUAUAUAUUAUUUAAUUAAAUAUAUAUCGAUUUGGGUAGGAUCUGGUAUGGGUCUGGAUUUAGAUAUAAAUUUUAGAAAAUCAGAUCCUACCUAGACUCAUGACUCUCUCACAGGGUCAAGGUCUGAAUUUAGGUAGGGUCUGGAUUUGAGAAAUUAAAUUCAAACCAUACCCAAAUAUGUUGGAUCUAGAUUGGAUAUGGAUAAAACCUGAUUCAUUGACAUGCCUAGAAUUAGGAAACCACUUAUCCACUUCCAGAGUAUCAUAGCAAAUGAUUGCCUACGCAAUUAAGGGAGCCUAUUGCCCUUUCUAAGUUUCUUCUGUAAAAUGGAGACUACUCUUUCAUUAUUGGUUCUUAUGUAGGAAUGAAAGAAUAAAUUUUUUUUGGAAGUCAAGUAGUCAACCCUUGAGUUUCUAUAUAUAUUCCAAAUUCCAAUAACCCAUUUUUCAAGUAAAUUUGUGCGACAAAGUUUAAGGAUGAUUUCUAUUUUUUCUGUUAGGUCCGGUCUUAAGAAAUUAACUAACAAGAAUAAUCGGAUUUUUGCCAACUUAAUAAUGACAAUAAUAAAACAAAUAAAUUAAACAGCAAAACACAAAAUUUUAUGUGAUUCGAUUAUAUUGACCUACGUCUACAGACAAAAGAGUAGCACAUUUAUUAUAACAAAAAAAGAGUACAAAAGAGAGAGUAUAAAAUUUUAUGAAAUAUUUCAUAUGUUCAAAAGACACUUAAAAUUGAAAACACAAAAGAGCAUAAAUAACAAAAAUGUUUAAUGACUCAAAGACUCGUAAUUUACUCUUUUGGUUUGAUGCAUAGUUAUUAAAUCUGGUUUAGGGAGGAACCCGGUGAAAGAAGUGGGUCAACGGGUUAUUAGUUCAACCAGUGGGUGAGUGGCCCAAUCAUGAGUCACUAAAUAUACUUAAAUAUUAUGUCUCAUAAUUUUUGAUAUGGUUGAAACUAUAAUAAAUUAUGCUAUAGUAAAUAUUCAGUUAAUUCAAUUUAUUGUAAAAUCAUUAAUUCUUAUAGGAAUUAACAAAACCUAAAUUUAAUUAGUAAUCCACCAAAUUUCAAGUAUAAAAUUUUAUCUAAGUGUAAUUAUCUAGUUUAUUUAUGAAUUUUAAGUGCAAAAGGUUAUUAAGAAUAAUAUUUGUCUUUAAAAUCAAUUAUGUAAUAUGUUAUUUUUUAAAGGGUUAAAAAUAAAAAAAACCCCCUGUGGUAAGCCUAAUACACAGAAAAACCCCCUAUAGUUUCAAAAUAUACAAUACGACAUCUCAUGCUUUGAACUAAAUUGUAAAAGUGACGGAAUCCGUUAAACUUAACGGAAAUGACUUAUUGGAACCUAAAAAAAUUUUUUUAUACCUAUUUUUUAUCAAAUAUACCAAUUCUACCCCUUAACCCUCAAUUCUCUCUAUUUAGAAAAUAAAACAAAUAAUUUUUUUGAGCUGUCUUUUGCUUAAUUAUAUCAUGGUAUUUUGGUCAUUUUGACCAUUUCCGUUAAGUUUAACGGAUUUCAUCACCUUUACAAUUUAGUUCAAAGUAUGAGGAGUCGUGUUGUAUAUUUUGAAACCACGGGGGGCUUUUCUGUGUAUUAGGUUUACCACAGGGGGCUUUUUUAUUUUUUUACCCUUUUUUAAAUCCAUUUCAUAAUUUAUAGAAUUUAGGGGAUAAUAAAAUUUUAUUAAAAGAUUCCAAACAAAUUUUGUUUUGAAGAAAUAAAAUAAAAAUAAAAGUCUAAUAUAUAAUAUAGAAGGACUAAGUAAGCACCAAAUGGGCUAUUGGACUAGUGGUGAGUGUAUUUAGCCUUUGUACUUGAGGAUUGGUUGAACCGCCGGUCCGUUGAAAAGUCAACGGAUUUCUUGCACAAACGAUCAAAUUACUAACCCAGCCCGGUUUCAUGGUCGGUUCACCAGGUUGACUGGUUGAACCAUCAGAUCGGGUCGAGUUUAAUAACAAUGGUUUGAUGUCUAACCAAAACUCUUCUCAAAUUGGGGCGUGGGCCCCCCAAAACUCUUUUGAACUAGUGCAUACAGCACUUGGAUUGGUGCGGUUAACACACUUAAACUCACUUAAAUCUACUAUAUUUUUAACACUAGGAGGGGAAUACCUGCGCAUCAUGCGGGUGUUUGGUGCCUGUGGUUAAAGAAGAUUUUACGGUAGUUCAAUCGAAUAUCAAAAAACUCACGCACGUUGAAUAACAAUAUAAAGUAACAAAAUAUCUAAUGUAUACUGGAAGAUGGAGAAAGAAAUUAUGCAUGCUAUCUUGCUUGGUUCAUAUAUUUUGAAACAAAUACUUAUAUAUGAGCUUUUCAUUAACAAGACUAAAUGAACUUUAAACAGAUACCGAAAUGAUUCAGAGAAUGGCAAUAAACAAAGUGAUUAUUCACUUAAAGAUGCAUCUACACAACAUUCUAAACGACAAAGCCUAGCCUGGAAAGGUUUGGUUCCAUUAGAGGAUUCAACAAUGGAUCAUCAACCCCCGUAGAUUUUGGGUGAACAUAAUGCUAAAUGCCCUUAACAUAGGCCUUCGCCUGUAAUUUCGUUAACUCAAUACUGAUUAGAUCUUUCUCCCAAAAAUAAGGACAAUUGAGAAAAAUCAGAUCAAGAUCGAAGUCGUCUAGUAUCUCCCGCCAAACCCUUGAUGCCAUGUUAUGUGCUAAAUUGCCACUGAUAGGGUAUUAUUUGUUGACAAUUUUAUUAUUAAUUUUUCCUUUUAUUCCAACCAAAUAUUGUUUUAACUAUUAAUAUCUACUUAUAUUUGGUAUCUGGAAUUAAUUUCAGGGAGUGGAACAGAAAAGUACAAAAAAGAAGGAUCAUCCUGGAGAAAAUUGAGACUUCUAAAAAGACUUCAUAAUCCUGGCCCACAUUGUUGAGAAGAACUAGACUUCCAAUUCCCUUUUUAACUGACUAGGAGUCCUCCACACAAGCACUUCGGCAGAGGGCUCCAAUUCUUGGGCUUUUGAAAUUUCUGUGGGACCACAGAGACUAGGAGGCAUUAGUCAUAUCUUGGCUUAAAGAAGGAAAACGCACGGGGAGCUCUGAUGAAGAGUUUUUAGUUUUGAGCUUUAGUUUUGAGUUUUUCCUUUCUUUUUCCCUUUGUGAGGCGCACGCCAGAGCUUAGUCUUUUAGGAUAGUUUUUAGUUUUCUUUCUUUCUUUUUUCCUUUUGUCAGACGCACGCCUACCGUUCGACAAUAUUCCCCAACGGAAAAAACAUCUUUUAUUUCUCGCGUCCUAGUGAAAAACUUGAUGCCCUUGUAAUCAAUUAAUUUGUGUAGAGAUUUAUUUAUGCGGCGUGGCUAAGUCUUCCAUCUAGUCAAGGAUCAACUCGACAGCGCAGUCCCGAAAAUCUGUGAGAUCUAAUUAGUUUUCACGCGUUCUCAAUUUAUUAAUAUUUGCACGUUGUUUGCUUGAAUUUUCAUGGGAUUAUUUUAUUAAUUGGAUGUCAAGUGUCCGAUGUUCAAUGUAAUUUAUUAAUCUCCUGCCAAGUUAGUCAAUUAAAUCCGUAAUUGUUUGAUUGAUUAAUAUUAGUGGCAACUGGUGUGUUUAUAUAUUAGGGGAACGUGCAAUCUAAUUUAAAUAACCCUCGUAGCGAGUUAUUGAUUGGGGUUAAGUUUUUCUAGUUAUUAAUGCAAUUGAAAAAUUAAUUCCUACCGUCGUACCUAGGAGUAUUUUCUGGUUAGGGGUAAUCAAUGGUCGUACCUUGGUUAUCAAUAAAUUAAGAAAAAAUUGGUCGUUAGACUUCGUCGGCGACUAUAACUAGUCUAUUAAUAAAUUAAGUGAACCUCUCUUGCAUCAAUGAUUAGGUAAGUGGACUGUGUCUAAAUAGUUGCAUCCUUGGUUAGAAUUUAUUUAUUCUUGAUUUAAUUCCUGCUAUAUCCGUGCCAGUUAAUUAUUUAUUUUUUAGUUGAAUUGUUUAAUUGUUUUUAGUUUCAUUCUGAUAAAGCCCCCUUUACCAAUUGGAAUUUCAAAGAGACAAAUAUCCCCAGUCCCUGAGGAGACGACCCUACUUGCCACUGUUUACUGUUUAGUAAUUUUUGUCGACUAAUUAAUUCUGAUAUAUCGGAUUAAGCAAAUUUUUCGGGAAUAGGGUGAAUCAAGUAAUUCAUUGCACACCUAGAGUCCCUACUCCAGUACCUAAGAUUAAUUAUUGACUACUUUUAGUGGUAUUUAGGUUAUUAUUAUUAUUAUUGCACAAGCUCGACGCCUGUCAGCCACCAACACUAUCCCCACCAAAAUACACCCUAUCAAAGCCAGCAUAAUUCCUAAGCCAUACCUCAGGAUUCUCGCCAUUUGAAUGAGAGGCAACCCAUUUGACUGCAAUCUGAGAAUCUUCAUAAGCAAUAGGCAAAGGAUGCUCAGGGAUGAGCCGAUAGUUAAUUGAAAUUGCUAUACCACCAGCUUCUACAACUACUAUAUUAAGGUGCGCGUGAUAUGUAAGAGAGAAGGCAUAUUUGAUCAAACAGCCUCCACCAUGUAAGUAGACCAAAAGAGGAAGUUUUGUAUCUCCAAACCUAUUCCAACAAAAUCACACCAUUUAAAUUGUAUAGAACAACCAACUUUAUGGGGAAACAAUAAUAUCAACAUUAAAUUGCACUAACAGAGUAUCCAAUUUUGGAAUGAAAACAUUUAGCUAACAAUAGAAAUUAUGAUUAUACAAAGCAAAUCAUACCAUUAAAAAAAAGAAUGACACCUCACCUCAAGUUGAACCAUCAAGAAUAGCUUCACCAGAGAACCAUAUUGAAAUCCAGAGUACAAUGACAAUACAAAUAAGUAUUUACCGGAAGACGAAAGAAACAUAACGGAAGAAUGCGAAGAGGCAAACAUUUGAAGAAUUGAAGUUGAAACUAAUGCUCAAUAAUAAAUUCCUUAAUAAACCACAUUGCCCUUGCUUUAAUUGAGAUGAAAAUGACGUUUGAAGUUCUUCAAGUUAUAAUAGCAAAGUAAUAGUAAUAAUUGAUACAAAUCAAAAUAAAUGUCUCUGCAAGGACAUUUAAGUAAUUACACAAAUAAAGAAGCUAUUAUGGGUUGUACCCAUUGUAGAAAAGAUGACCAAAUAAUCUCACAUUUCCAAACUACCGAAACCUUUGAAUAAAUUAUCACUGCAUCUUUUAGAAUUCAAGGACAUUUCAGUAAACACAAUAAAACACAUGCUAUCUAAAGUAAUACCUAAUACUAUAACUAUACUCAAAACAAUCUCACAAUCCCAAAAUACCCCUACUCUUGCGGUUGAAAUUCAAAACUAUUUUUUGACCCAAACUCAUUCUUAUAUAGUAUAAGGAAGCACACAUAGAGAUUUCUAUGUUAAACUCCCAAUGUGAGAUACAGAGACACACUUAACAAAUUUUCAUCUUGGCGUGUAUCCAACAUCGGUAAAUAGCAGAUAAAUAGCAAACAAGCUCAACCUUCUACAUAAAAAUUUCAACGAAUCUCAACGAACAACCAAAAUCCCAACAAACCCCAACGAACCAUCAACAAAUCAGGAUGCAAAAGAUUCAAUGGAUCCCAACGAGUCAAAACUCACAAAAAGGUUUAGCAGAUCCCAACAAACUAAAAAUCACGAACAUAGUAAUAUUACUCCACCUUCUUCACAAAACCUUUAACGAAUUUCAACGGGUCAAAUAACUUUUCUUCAAAACCCAAUUGAACUCCAAUGAACAAAACCCUCAACGAGUUUCAAUGGAUCAAAUAACUCUUUUUCAAAAUCCAAUUGAACUCCAAUGAAAAUUUUUAUCCGAAACCCCAAUAAAAAUUUACGUGGUUCAAUUAAAUUGAUCUAUAUCCAUGGGUGAAAGAGGCGAGAGUAUAAAAUCCUAAGGUGAAGAGGUGAGAGUAUAAAAUCCUGAGAAAUAUUUCCUAAGCUCAAAAGACAGUUAAAACCGAAAAUACAAAAAAACCUAAAUAAUAUAAAUGUUUAAUGGUUCAGAAGUCCAUAACUUGCUCUUUUAGUUUGAUGUCUAACCAAAACUCCUCUCAAAUUAUAGCGUAAGCCCCUCAAAACUCUUUUGAACUGGUGCAUACGACACUUGGAUUGAUGUAUUUAGCACAUUUAAAUUCAUUUAAAUCCACUAUAUUUAUAACAAUUAUAAGGAGAGAUUUCUUUGUUAAACUCCCAAUAUGGAAUACAAAGACACGCUUAAUAUUUUCUAUAGUCCAGCUAAUGAUAAAAUGCAACGAAGUAGCGAAGCUAAUAUGACAUUAUUAUUUCAAUCCUUUCACUAUUAUUUUUAUACUGAUAUUUCAAUCUAACAUGUGGGAGUUGACUAUAUAGAUCUCGAGAAUUCUCAUGUCUCUAGAAUUAAUAAAGUUAAUGGAUCCUUUGCUAUUUAGGUGCGGUAUGAGUAACAGUUUCAGCUCUGCCCUGGGGCGUUAGAUGCAGCGCAUUAUUACUGUACCAUGGAAUGCAUAGCACUUGUAGUAAAACAUAAUACUAACUACAAGGUAGAAUCUGUGUCAUUCUCCUUCGAAAAAAAAAAAAGAAUCUGUGUCAUUCGUGGUACUGAUUUGUAAAAUGUCAAUUACUGAGCAUCAGAAACGUGAAAUUUCAGCCAUCAAAUAAAAUUGUUCCUGACAAAUAAAAUUGUUCCUGACAAUUUUCUUUAUAGGUAUAUGUUAGGGAAAUAAUGUUAGUAAUUAUAGUUAAAAUAGUUGAGAGUUAGUUAGAUAUGACAAUGAAGCAAAGGAUAAUCUGGAACGAACAGGAGUUUGGUUCCAAACUUUAAUUCGUUUUCUGGAUUCUUAUCCAAACCUUGUGCUCUGUGCAUAUUCGAAAAGACUGCAGAAGGUUAUACAUAUAUAUAUAUAUAUAUAUAUAUAUAAGCCAUUCUAUUUUUGUAACAGAUACUAAAUACAAGCAAAUAAUUAAAACGAAAAUUGAACAGAUGGCUCAAGCUCUAGUUAAAAGAGAAGAUUAGCUUAUCCGGAUGAGUGAGGGAUUUAUGAUUAUUUUUGUAAAUAAUGUCAGUCAAACGGAAACAUCAAUUUUACAUUACAAACAUAGUUGAAGGACUACAUGAGCAAUUUCGUUUUUUGUUGUUCUUUGCCUACAAAUUAAUAGUUUUUUAGCUAUAUUUCAUUGCAUCUUUGAGCUUAGUAAUCCUCAUUUCUUCCUUUCUUGUUAAAAAGAAAAACAAUUAUCACAAUUUUACCUUUUUUCCCUACACUUUUUAACGACUACAACUAUAAGGAUUACUUUCGAUGAAUUUAAUGCAACCAAUCUGAAGUGUAUAACUGAGGAUUCCAGUAAGUUGUUUCUACUGUUUUUUUUUCUUCUCUUAAUAAGAUUGUAAUUAAUCCAUGAUUUUAGAACUAUUACAAACAAAUUACAACUCAACCCGCAAAAUAGUUAAAUUUAAAUCCAAGAUCUCUAAUUUCUUAUAGCUCAACUGGUGAAUGUUGCACUCAAAAUUGACAGCACAGCCAUGAAUAUUACGAUAUAUGCUUGAAGAAAAAGUAAACUGCCUCUCAAGUCCAAGGUCGAUCAAAACUAACAAAAGAAAAAAGUGUGAGACGGAAGUCAACGGACGUAACACAAAAUUCCACAAAGUCACCAGAGCCCAAGUCGUCUCUCAGUCUCCCUAGCACAUAUUAAAUUACAAAUAUUUGCACACUAACUACUGGGCAGAGAGGUGAAGCAAGUAUGAAUUGAUCAGUUGAGGUGCUACUUUGCUCAAUUCAGGUUAGACAUGUUUGUUUCUUCCCCCUCUGCCUCGAAUUAUGCAUGCAUUCCGAGACAAUGCAGUUCUAUUUGUUUGGUUUGUAUGAAUUUGAAAUUGCAUGCAUUGAUUGUGUUUUUGAUGGGUUCUUUAGAACUGCUAGUUGUAUAAUGCCUCGUUGACUUCGUUUGCUGGCCUCAAAAGUUAAGCCGAAAGGAGAGAUGUUUAUAACGUUUUGUUAAAUAACUACUGCAAACAGAAGAAAGCAUAUCUACCAGGGAGGAAUAAAGCAUGAAUAAAAGAAAUCUGAGAUUUUCGCUUCAUUUGGAGUGUGGGUAAAACCCAUCUGAACAAUUUUACUGUAGUUGAAAGCUUCUGAAUUCUUAUUCCGUUGGACGGAUUUUGAAACGUCCCUGUUAUGUUUCUAUUUAGUUAGACAUAGGACAACUUCACUUACUGAGGAUAAUUAUCUUGUUCAACAAUAUAUGCUCCAUUACAGCAUUUUUUUUUUUUGAAUAUUUUCUGAUACAUUGGCUGUCAUGUUAACCAAAUCAAUUUAGGAGAAUGAAUUUGGUUUUUGCACAUUUUGUUGGAUUGGACGGCUGUUAACUUUGGCUGCACCUUUGAACAUGUGUCUUAUGAACUUGGUUCUCUUAUAGGCAGUAUGUAAUCUAGGUUAUAAGAUCACAAAUCAAUUAAUGAAUCCGUGGAAUGAGACGUUUCAGAUGUUUAUGGUUUUUAACUGCAACGGCAGUUUAACUUCUUCACCACAGUCUUCGUUACAAAUUGAAUCUGAUGCCUGACUCUAAAUCUGCCCUGAACUAGGUGAAUUUGGAUAGGCUUUUCACUAAGUUUUUGCGAUGGCAUGGGGCAACUUGUUCUAAUAUGAUACUUGUCUAAUGUCCAUCCUAUGUUUCCUCUUGAGCUUUCUGUGAGGAGCAUCAUCAGGGCAUUUGUCUCGGAUUCUGCCAUCAGCUAAUAAGUUACAUCAAUAUCCUAGAUAAGUCUGAAGAAAAGGUAAGGUUUCAACAUGUCAAAGCCAAAGAAGAAAUGGAAUUCACCAAGAGUUCAAAUUUCUUCAAGAACAUGGUAUGUGUAUGUUUGACAAAGAUGUUGAAUGAUGUAGACUGUGUUUACCUUCUCAUGAUAUGGAAGACCAUGGUUAACUUGCUUCUAAACUGUUCAAACCUGCUGGUGUAUAAACUGAAUAAAGAUCUCAAUUAAGGUAUGUCAAAAUGUCUAGAAGAGAAAGAUGAUGUUUGAAAACCUUAAUAGCUAGAAACUCUUGUAUUGGAUAGGAAUUAUUAAUCCACAACUACAGCUUCUGAUAUUCUAAAAUUUACCAUUUUGAGUUACAGUAAGGUUCGUGAUUAUUCUUUUCCACUUUCGGAGUAUCCUCGUAGCUGAUCUUCCUGUUCUGCCCACUUAUUUGGACGCACAUAUUGGCCUGUCUAUCUUCUUUCUGUAAAAUGGAGUUUACUCUGAUCUUCCUGUUUUGCCUACUUAUUUGGACACACAUAUUGCC
rnacentral:lncRNA from 1 species